rnacentral:lncRNA from 1 species
GAAUAUAUGUUGUCUGGGGCUCCUACUCGGCGAGUGGCAUCAACCUACUCGGCGAGUAGGAUGAUUUUACUCAUGUACUCGGCGAGUUCAUCAGUGGACUCGGCGAGUACAGUGCCCAGAAAGCCAGAAAAUCGAGUUUUUCAGCAUUUUUCAGCAAUUUGCAUCAAGUAUAAGAGAAAGCAAGCCUAGGCUCUGAUACCACUGUUGGGUUUUGAGCAUUCUAACACUCCUAAGUGUACAUGCAACCCUAAAUACCUUGGAUCUAUGUUUUCUCUAUUAUACAUGCAAAUAAGAACAUCCAAGGUAUUAUCCUAAUCUAGCAUACAAAAACAAUGAGUAUAGCAAGAUAGAAUACAUACCUCUUUGGUGUAGAAAGUCUUCAUGAAGCUUGAGUGCCUAGUGCCCCAAGUGUGACACCUCAAAUGAAAUCACAAUCACCAAAACACUUAGAAUAACUUGAAAGAAUUCUACAACUCAUGAAAUCGGCUAGCCCUUUUACUUCACACUCUAGUGGCCUUUCUUGGUCAAGAAUAAGAUGCUUAUAUAGUUAGGGUUACACCAUGUAAACCCUAAUUGACAUGGCCUUUCAUUUCCAUGAUCCAUGGGUACAAAUACACCAUGGAGCAUCCAUGGACCAUCCUAUGGGUUUUAGCCCAACUUGAUUAUCCAUGGAGCAUUAGCCCACUAUAUAUUUAAUUAGUCUUCUUUUGAUCACUUAAUUAAUCCUAGAUUAAUUCUUGAUCAAUACUAAUUAAAUAAUCUUAUUAUUCUUAUUAUUAAUAUACUAGAACUUAUAAUAUAUUAAUAACCAUAAGUGUCUUAUUUCUCUCAUUAUAGUCUAUCUAAGUGCAUGAUGGUAUGCAACCCAAAUGGACCAUGCCGGGUCGGGUCAAGUCUUACCAAUUAUAGUUAUGGACUUAGACAUUAAUCCAACAGUGACAACUAUCAAUUUUGGGUCAAACAAUGUCAACCAAGUGAACUUGACUAGUAUUGGGAUGUUAGGAUAAGCAUGAUUUUUCUAAUGAUUCUAAUGUACAACUUACAAUUAUAAUACAAAGUAUCUCUCAGGAUUGCCAAUUAUCAAAUAUAAACCCUAAUUGGGGUUAAUAACGCAACAACUCGAUAGUUCAGUUAUAUAUUAUUUGGGAAUAAAUAAUAUCCGUAACAUAGAUGUAGUGGAGUUCAUAAAUCUAACACUAUGAGGCAAAUUCAUAACAAAGUAUACAAACACAACUUUUUGUGAAUUCAUCACCAAAUGCGACAAAGUCUAUACUUGUCCAAACACCAAAUCUUAACGAAACAAACUUAACAAUCCAACCUAACUGUUCAUAUAACGUAUUAUUAUUUGAUAACAAUGGUUUUUAUAAUAAUUUGAAUUUUAAUAACUCAAAUUAAAUAUUUUACACAUCCUUUAUACCCUAUUUUCUUUAUAAAAAUCCCAUCAUAUUAUAAAAAUGCUAGGAUUUAUAAAAGUCUGACUUUUAUUUUUGUAAAAGUCAUUAGUUAAUUACGAUGUACUCUUGUCUUAAUUAUCCAACUACUAACCCUAAAGUAGACCACCUUUAAGUCCCAUCCAUGUUCCCCCUCAUCACCCCUCAUAACUGUGACAACCCAAAAUUUUCCAUCCAGUUCAGUCAAACACUUCAUUAAAAGUCAAACUCAUUGCUAUUAUCUUUUAGCACAAUUAGAAGUUUAUUUGAGCAUUCUAAGCCUUGUACACUUAAGGAAUAAGUGUCGGGGUUUAUCAGCUGAAGUUUUAACUCAAAGAAAUGACCUUAAACACUCAUGCAAGGAGUUCACGGCCAACACAUGGGAUUUUACGGCCGUAAACUCCAUGUGGGCCGUAAACUCUUGCUUAUAUGAUGAAAAAGUGGUCAUUUGUUCAUUCCUCCUUUCCAUUUGGCUCAAAUCCUCUCAAGUAUCAUCCAGAUCUUCGUCCCCGAUCUUCAAAAAUCAUAAUUUUAUUGUCGUAACUAUUUGAUAUCUUGCAUGAACUAGUAAUCUUACAUGAUUUCAUCCAUGAAAUCAUUCCAUUUUGUAGAUCUUCAAGUUCACAAAGAACACCAAGAACACAUACUAGUGUUCUUGGCCAAAAACGACCAUUCGAGCUCCCAGAUCAUUAGUACUCUUGAUCCAAAUCAUUGUACAGUAGGUUUAUCAUAUUUAGGGCUUAGAAAACAUAGUAAAUCAUGGGAUUCAAGGAGUUUACAGCCAAGGCAUAUUCUUGAGCCGUAAACCCCUUUUAAGGGUGCAAAUGACACCCUAACACCUUAGUAAGCCUUGGUUAGUGACAUAGAACCUUACACUGUUGACCUAAGGACCAAGAUUCACGAAAUGGUACUCCUUACCAUGAGUUUACGGCCAUAAACUCAUGGGGAAGUAUUCCUAGGGCCGUAAACACCAUAUAUGGUCAUUUUAGGACCUUAAACCCACCCAAACACUUGUUUAAAGCUUUGGAGCACGUAACCACUUAAUCCCUUAGAGUUUUAAGCCCCUUUUGGUGACCAAUUGAGAGUUUACGGCCAGGAGUAAACUCCCCUGGGCCUUAAGCUCCAACAAACAUGGUCAUUGGACCGUAAACUCCCGUAUGAGCCUUGCACUCCUUUGUUGCAACCCGAUAGCCUCCUAGCACUUGACCAAAGUGUUUUCCUCGCAAUAGGAUGUUUAUACAUGUUUAAUUAGUGUUAUAAUCACUAAGUGUUUAUAUACAUAUGCCUUCAUAUGUAAUUAGGAUCAUUGUGUGUGUCUAAGUCUUCACUUGACACCAAGCACUUGUCCGACACUUCCUUCCGAUCCACUCACUGCAGGUGAGUUCAUACCCCUUGAUAUAACUUUUUAAAUGUUUUUAAAUGUUUAUAACUGAUUUAUGGGGGAUACAAGUUGAAUCAUGUUUAGUUAUUAUAUCAAUCACAUGUGAUUAAUAAUUAACAUGCAAAUGGAUUUACUAUAUGUUAACUGUUUUACCAAACAGAUUUCUUCAAAUGUUUAUCUUAAACAUUUUUAUGUGUUUAAAACUCUUUAUUAAACUGUUUAUUAAACACUAUAUGUUUCAUUUCAAACUCCUUUACAAUUGUGUUUCAAACAAAGGUUUCUUUAUACUUAAACUGUUUUAUCAAACAAAUACUUUCAAACCGUUUUAUAAACUAACAUCAAGUCGAUCUUUUCUUAGGUAUUAAUCUCUUUCAAAGGUAUUACAAAACUUCUUUUAUGCUUUUAUAUUAUCGAAUGCAUGCCCAUAUAUGUAUAGUUAUAUAAGUAAUGUUUAAAGGACUUAGGAAGGUUAUGUCACUCUAUUUCCUUUUCCUCGUUGGGAUGUGGCUAUGGAGUAUCAGUUAUCCGUCCAAAUGUCGUCUAAAUAUUAGUUAUAUAUAUCAUGUAUACAUAUGUAGACAUAAAAGUUUUCCUCAGUCAGUUCAGUACCUUUGGGUAGCAAAGGAAUACUUCAGGUUAUACACGUACAUUGUUAGUAACUAUUAUAGGUAUACUUAGGAGAUACUACUUACCGUUCCAAGUACAAGGAAUCACACAAGAGUCAGUUCAUUCAUGAGUCUAUACUAAUACAUUACAUGUUACAUGAGUACAUUUACAUAGAUAUGCUUACAUGAGUACGUUUACAUAGAUGUGCUUACAUGAGUAUGUUCACAUAGAUAUGCUUACAUGACUACGUUUACAUAGAUACGCUUACAUGAGUACGUUUACGUAGAUACUCUUACAUGGAUACUUUUACGUAGAUAAUAUAUGAUGAGUUACUAUUACAUAUUAUAUGUGUAGAUACUAUUAUAUAAUUCUCCUUCUUAUCUUUAUUUUGUGAUACAUUCACAUAACCGAUGAGAUAGACGGGACUUAAUAUCCUAGUACCAAAGGAUACUUUGUGGGACUAACCAUUCCUAUCACUGUUGUUAGAUACAGAGGUAAAUGCACAUCUACGGAUAUCUACGGUUGAUACCAUUAUAGGUAUACUUUAAGGGACUAACUAUUCCUACACCCAGCUGCUAGGUACAGAGGUAAAUGUACAUCUAUGGAUGUCUACAGUCAACACUGUUAGUUAUCCUAGUACAAAAGGAUGAUACUUAAGUUAUUUAUAUUAUUACCUUUAUCUUUUGACACUUUCACAUAACCGACGAGCUGAAUUAUAUUUGAGUAUCGUAGUACCUAAGGAUACAAUUUCUUAUAUUAAUAAUAAUAGUAAAACAGUCGGGUCUUGGUUGAAGACUACUUUCAAAACAGUUAGGUCUUGGUAGAAGACUACUUUCAAAACAGUCGCCUCUUCGUAGAAGACUACUUUCAAAACAGUCGGGUCUUGGUAGAAGCCUUCUUUCAAAACAGUUAGGUCUUGGUAGAAGAUUUCCAUUAUAGUGAUCAUAGGGAUUUCUAGGGCUUUCCAAACGCUUUCAACUACUUACAAACAUUUUCAUACUUAUAAGAGCUUUCUUUCAAAUCAAUAUCAAAUCUUUCAUUACAAGUCUUACAAAUCAAAGACACCUUAAUACUUAUGAAUUCACUAGCUUUUUGGCUGAUACUCGCUUUCAAAAUAACAUGUAUUCUCAGCUCACAAAUAGACAGGUACGAUGACCAGGUUUUGAUUAUUCAUUAUGUUGUCUUAUAUUAUGAAAGAAAACACUUGUAAUUAAAAUUAUACUAUUAAUGCAAUGGAUGAUGUUGUUGCUUGUUUACUACUUUACAUUAGUGUGAUACAUUAUAUGAUGUCCUCCGCCCCAGAACGUUUCCGUCGUUCUCGAUUUUUGGGGUGUGACAAUAACUCACUCUACCCACCCUGCCCACCCUCUUUCCAUCCCUCUCUUUAAGUUAUGGCCAUAAGGCCAUUUCCCUUCACUAUUGCUUCAUCUUUUGUUAUUCUUCUCCAAGAAAGGCUCUCAACUUCCAACCCUAAUUUCACCCAAGUUGAUUUUCAACUUUUGGUAAGUACUUCCUUCAUGAUCUAGUGAUUCUACACACACAUAUAUGCUAGUUUCAGUCCAUUUACACACAUUAUCAUGUGUUACUAUUCAUAAGAUCUUCAUAUCUUCAAAGUGUUUUUCAAGUGUUUUUGACUUGAAACAUUCUAUCUACAACCUUCCAUUCAUCAAGAAAACACACAUAAGGUGAGUUCAUACCCCUUCAUUUUUCAGAUUUCUAUGUUUUUGGGGAAGAAUACAAGUAAACUUAUAUAAGUAUACAUUUUAUUAUGCAUACUAAAUUACAUGUUGUGUAAAAGUGCUAAAAACAUGAAAUAACAUUAUUACCAUGCUUUAUAAACACUUAUAUGUAAAAUUAUGUUUAAAAUACAAAACUAUGAGAAAAAGUAUAAACAUGUUAUAUGUUUUUAUGAAAAACAUAAAAACACGAAACUAUAAAAAGUAGGUUUUUUUAUGAGUGUAAUAUGAUUUUUCUAGCAAAAAUGGUUAUAACCAAGUUACUACACCAUUUUUGUGGGAUAUAAACCAAAAUAUGUUAUUUUGGACAUAUGAAUUGAAACUAGUAAAAAUACCAUAAAGUUAGAUUUAGAAAAAGAAAACUUCAAAAUUUAUCAUUUUAUGCAAAAGUGGGUUUUUUAACAGCAAUGCCCAUAACUAGGUUAUGGUACCAUUUUUGUGGGUUUUGACCUAAAAUAUAUUGUUUAAAACAUACAAAGAUAACUUGACUUAAAAAUCACUAAAAGGUAAAGACAAGUUUUACAUAACUAUAUUUCACUAUUUGCCGUUUGUGAUGUUAAAAGUCAAAAACUAGAAAAAUAGACAUUUUCAUACUAAGGACUCGCUUAUUUGUGCUAGAUGUAAAAUUACUUGCUAAUUAUAAAUAUCUAAGCAUGCUAGCCUCUAUAUAUGUAUAUAUAGGUACAAAAAUAAAAUAUUAUAAUAAACUAUAUAAGUAUAGUUUAUGAAUCAUUAACACUAUUGUAACAUGUUGAGCAAAGUGGAUAAUUAUAUAAAGACAUAUAUGAUUAUUUUAUACUAUUUUAUUGUCAUGGAAAAGUGAUAAUUACACAUACAAAGGUUUUCAUUACAACAAAACAUUGACAAUAAACUAUAAUAGGUAUAGUUUAUGGGUCAUUGAUAUUAUUCUACCAUUUUGGGAUACAAUAAAAAUGAUUAUUUAAAGGUAUAAUUAUUUUACACUAUGUAAUUUAUGGAAAGGUAUUAUUUACUCUUACAAAAAGGAAUUCAUUACACUAUACGUAAACCUGUUAAUAUAACUUUGUGAUACAUAGUCUUCACUGUACCUACCAGAGUACCUACAAAAGUCCUGUGUUAUAACCAUAAUCUCCCGUAAGAGAGUGUGACACUUGUGUAUAGAUCUAUACAGGACUGACAAUCCCAUACCUAAGUUGUUAGCUACAGCUAGACUGGUAGGUAUGAGGUGACAAAUUUCAUAACAUUCUGACGCUUGAAGAACGCCGUAAUAGGCCAUCUAUAUCUUUAGCACAUUUAUAACAACUCACAUUGGGUAUUAACAAUACAUUUGGUUUACAGGGCUAACAUAUAUUCAUAUGGUUUUAUAUAAGAAGAAAACUACAUAAUACUACUUCUGAGUAUAGAAAUACUUAUACAUUUUUGGUCUUAGGGUUUUAAGACUACAACUCAUUCUUAAGAAAAUAUUGGAUUUUCUGGAAACAUACACUCAAAUGGUUUUAUAUAGAUUAAAACAACAUAUUACUAUUUUAAGUAUAGAAAUACUUAUACAUAUUGGCUUUAGGGUUUCUAAGACUACAACUCAUUUUUAAGGAAAAUAUUGGAUUUUUUGGAAACGAACACUAUCAUUUUACAAGGAAAGGAUUACAAUUCUUCAUAAAAACUCUUAUGAACCCACCAACUUAAUUUUUGACAAUUUUCAAAACUACUUGUAUUCUUAGGUAAUCAUUAAAGCAUGUAACUACAAGCUUUUGAGGAUGGGACACUAAGAAGUUAAAAAAAUCUUCUAAAUCGUCAUACUAUAAUUGGUUUUGAAACAUACAACUCAUACAACAAUGUAACUCUUUCAAUUAUAUUUAUGAUGGUUGUUUUUUUGCUUUAAUCACUAUUAUUCAUUAUGUUAUGAUACAAUACAUGAAAGCCAUCCACCCGCAGACGGUUUCGACAUCCUGGUUUGGGGGUGUGACAUCUAUGAAUUUUACAAGACAACAUGGCCAUGUAGCUAAUUUCUUACCUGUCAGGGAAAAAGACGACUUUGACCUUGGUUAGGUACAAUAUCAGGUCUUAGUAAAAAUCAUGGACAAACUAGACUCAAAAUUAAAACUUAUUAAUUUAUGGAUCCCUAAUCCGACUCAUGAUGGGUUUUUUUUUUUUUUUAUUUUCUUUUCAAAACAGGGAUAGAUUGAUAUUUUUUUAUAAUUUACCAACAUUACAUUUUAAGGGUUAAUUGACAACUUAACCUAUUAAGCCACAACCAAAAUCAACUAUAAAUAUGGAAAUUGAUUUAUUAACAAUAGCAACUGUUGGGUCUAAAAUAUUGGUUUAUACUUUACUUUUAUAGGAAAAUGUAUUUUUCAGUCAUGCAAUAUGUGUUUGCGGUUGUGUUUACAGUCGUGAACUGGUUCAUGGCCGUGAACCUGUUCACGACCCAUGUUCCUUACAUAUAUAUAUAUAUAAUUAUUUUGUACUAUUUUAUUAUCAUGAAAAAAGUCAUAAUUACACAUACAAAGGUUUUCAUUACAACAAAACAUUGACAAUAAACUAUAAUAGGUAUAGUUUAUGGGUCAUUGACAUUAUUCUACCAUUUUGGGAUACAAUACAAAUGAUUAUUUAAAGGUAUAAUUAUUUUACACUAUGUGUUUAUUAUUGAAAGGCAACAUUUCCACUUACAAAAAGGGUUUUCAUUACAUUAUACGUAAACGCAUUGAAUCAAUUUCGUGAGACAAAGUCUUCACCAUACCUAUCAAGGUACCUAUAAAAGUCUUGUAUUAUAACCAAAAUCUCUCGUAAGAUAGCGUAAUACUUGUGUAUAAAUCUAUACAGGACUGACAAUCCCACACCCAUGCUAUUAGCUACAGUUAGACCGACGUAUCUUGGGUGACAAAUGUCAAAACAUUCCGACGCCUGAAGAACGUCGCAACUGGCCAUGUAUCUCAUCAGCACGGUUAUAAUAACUUACAUGGGGAAACAACGAUACAUUUAGUUUAUGGGGAAACGUUCAUUCAAACGCUUUUUUUAUAAAUUAAAACUUCAUAUUACUAUUUUAUGUAUGGAAAAUACUUGUACAUUUCGAUAUUAGGGUUCUAAGAGUACAACUCAUUUUUAAGGUAAAUAUUGGAUUUUUCUGGAAAAAACACUAUCAUUUUACAAGGAAAGGCUUACAAUUCUUCAUACAAACUCUUGUGAACUCACCAACUUAAUUGUUGACACUUUUCAAACCUCUUGUAUUCUCAGCAAAUAAGUAAAACAAGUAACUACAAGCUUUUGAGGAUGGGAUGCUGAGGCGUCUGACAAAUCUUUUUAUCAUCAUAUUGUAAUUGAUUUUGAAACAUGUAACUCUUAUAACAAUGUAACUUUUUCAAUUAUAUUUAUGAUGUUUGUGUUUUCUUUUGUCACUAUUAUGCAUUAUGUUAUGAUACAAUACAUGAAAGUUAUCCACCCCCGGAAGUUUUCGUCAUCCUGGUUUGGGGGUGUGACAAUAGAGGUACUCGAUGAGUUGAGUUAAUGUGUCCCGAUUCUAUUAAAAAGACAGAGCUCGGCGACUUGAGGGAGGGCUCGACGAGUUGAUUCGAAAAUGCACGAUUCUAAGAUUAUUGGGAACUCGGCGAGUUAAAUGAUAACUCGACAAGUUGAGUCAACACGGACCGUUGACUUUGACUUUGACCAUAGUUGACAUUAAUGGGUUAUGAGUAUGAAAUGGUAUCUACGGGGUUAUUUUGGUUCAGGGGUGAGUAGAGCAUAUUACGGGGAAGAGACGUUUCAGCUAUCAUCUGAGAUUAAAGGUGAGUUUUCCUCCUGUUUGAACGGGUCGAAGGUGUUGGAUUAGGUGUCUAAGUUCAUUACUAUUUUGGGAUGUAAUUGACCCGAUCAACAUGGUCCAUUUGGGUUGCAUGGCAUCAUGCAUUUGGAUAAACUAAAAUGAGAGAAAUAACACUUAUGGUUUAUUAAUAUAUUACAAGUUCUAAUAAAUUAAUAAUAAUAAUAUUUAAUUAGUAUUGAUCAAGAAUUAAUCUAGAAUUAAUUAGGUGAUCAAAAGGAGACUAGUUAAAUAUAUAUGGGUUGGUUGUGUAAAUCAUCCAUACUUGUACAGUGAGCUAGAUACUCCAUGGAUUAUCAAGUUGGGCUAAGGUCCAUAGGAUGCUCCAUGGAUGUGCCAUGGGAGUUACAAACCUGUAAAGCCCGAAAACGGAUCUACCAAUGAUCAAAGACAAAUAACAGAAGCAAAAGAUAAAACAAUAAGCAAAUAACAAACGAACCAAGCUUGCAUACACCUUCAAGCAAUAAAACAUCAGAUACAACUUGGAGAAAUCAUGAAGGCAUCAACAACCUUUAAAGUCUGACACAACGCCCUAUUUAUAGACCUGACUUACAACCAUGAGGUGUUUACGGCCGCAAGGAGUUUACGGCCGUAAACACAUAACAACCGUAAACUAGAAAAAAUUGGUUUUUCCUACAGAAUCACUACCACUAACUAGUAUGCCUAGACCAAACCAUUAUAUAGGGUCUUUCAAUCUCCCCCUUGGUUUGGACUAGCUCGAACCCAUUCCUUUGUUGACAACCAUCACGUCCAUCUGGCCCAUUGCUCCAUUCCACAUUCUCUUGCUUAGAAUCUCCGCGACCAUUGUUGUCUACACCUUGGCUCCUUCCUCGUAUAUAUCUUCAACAACUUUAAUUUGAAAAUUGCUAAGAUAAUGAAUAUCCCACUUCUUGAAUUGCAGCAAGUCUCUACGAUCAUACAAACGGAUACACCCAUUUUUAACUUUGAUGACCGCUCCACAUGUAUUUUCAUCAUAGACCCAGCAUUCCAAAGAACUGAGAGAUCCAUCCUGAUAGCCUUGAAGAAUCGGAAAUUGCUUGACCUGCUUCGUUGGAGGCCACAUAACCACCUGUAAUGGCUUGUCGGUAGUUUCUUCAAAGACAUCUUGGUGUUCAAAUAUAACUGAUUCUGCCGUCGGCAUCGAUGGAAAUCCUUUAUUUACUUGAUCAUCCAGAAAAUGCUUAAACUGAGUAACCUGAGGAGUGUUGAAAUGAUUGAUGAAUGGAGCUUGAGACAACUCCGUCAGAUCAAUUCUCGUAAACGAUAUAAAUGCAUGAAUAUCCUUAUACAACUCUGAAUUGCCACUUUUACGAAUGACAAUCCACAUUCUGAGAGGGUCAUGAAGUCCCCAGGCAGCCACUCCUGAUCUAUCUCCAAAUGUAUCUCGGAACCUAACAACUUCAAGAUCAGUAACAGUUAUUAAGGGUUCGCUUCGAGAUGUAUUCCAAUUAGUAUUCCGUUUAAACAAUAAUUGUCCUCUCUGAACAUCAUCUUCUUGAUUACGACGAAUAAGUUCUUGAAUGUGUGGAGCCAAUGGAGGUUCAACUACAACACGUUCAGCAGUGCCAGAAGACUGACUGACUGGUAGGUCAACCGGAAAAGCUUGUAUGUGAAGAUUAAUCCUUUGUUCUUCAACGGACGUCUUGUAUCUCUCACCAAGAUCAACUUCAAGUUUCUUCUUUAGCUCAAAAUAGCUUGAAGUCAGCAGAUUAAAAUGAUCUUGUAAAUCGGAGAUCUGCUUGCUUUUCAGCUUCUUAUCCUUCUUUAGUUCAGCCAGUUGUCCGCCAAGACUAGACUUAUCUGAUUGUAGCUUGGAUACUUAGAUACGAAGAUCGACAUUCUCGGCACGAAGCUCUGCCACCUGAAUAUCGAGUCAAUGUUUUUAUGGCUAAGAACCAAAAUUUCUUUCUGUAGACCAGCAAGAGUAAGAUUAUCACCCUUAGCACCCCCUUCAUCAAUAGAGACACCUUUUUCUCGAGAACCAGGCGAUAAAAGUUGUUCUUCUGCCAUGUGUAGUGCUAGCCUUUCGGAAGCAACAUCCCGAUUAAAUCUAGGAACUGAGAAACCGGGCGGUGCAGAGGGACCAGCAAUAUCAAAAGCUGAACUAGGACUAGUUGGGAACAUCUUUGUAGUGGUGAGUCUUGUAGUAGUAGUAGUGACAGGCGUGGUAGGAAGACCGCUAACCAAACUUGCAAUUAGUUCAGAUUGUCUUGCAUCAAGUCUUCUUCUUUUAGAUUGUGGUUGGUCAGCUUCUGGAGAAAACACACUCACAAACGGUUUGGAAGUAGGAGAAACGGACACAGGAGGGGAACAUCCCAUAACCAUCUCCAUAGGAAUAGAAGUCGACACCAUUUGCUUUGAAGUAGGAGUUCGUGUUUCAAACGUCUCGCUCGAUUUCCUUGUCUCCGUUGUUUGUAAAACAACAUCAUCGACAUUGUGGAAAAUUGUGUCAAGAUUUUCAUGAGACACAACAUUAGCACUGCUUGCCAAAGAAGCUGCAAUGUCAUCAUGAUCAAAACCAUUUAAGUCAUGAUCAUCAAUAGAAUCACUUCUCUCUUCACCAAUACUCAUCUCUCCACCAACUUGAUCAUCACUCAAUUCCUUUUCAUGUUCUUAGACAGUUUGAGCUUUGGGAGUUAGUGAGUCUUCUUUCUCGGUUUCUUCAUCCUCAGAUACAUCUAUAACAAUGUUGGAUGGCGUUGAUUUCUCAGCAGAUGUUUGCUCCGAGGAUGUUUGCUCGGACAACUCGUAAGACUCUGGUGGUUCAUCUAGUUCUGUAAGUUUCCCAAACUUUUCAAGAGGAUAUAGUCCUUGAAAUAUGAAUUUGCCUUUCCGAUUCUGUUUGAUGAGUCCCACCAUGUGGGGACCCAAGGACUUCAUAUCCAAUGUUUCUCCUGUCUUCCUCACGUCUGGAAACUGAAUAUUAAUGAUCAUUUGCACGAAAUGGGGAUACAACAGAAAAGUAUCCCGAGUAGAAGCUCUGACGUUGAUAACAAAUUCCUCAAGGAUGAACUUUGAGAAAUUAAAGCGAAACCUAGCAGCAAGAGAUACCAGAGCACCAGUUGUGCGCUGAGAAAUCUCAUCUGCCCCAGACCUCCUUCCCGAGAUGCAGCUUACGAAAACAUGGGCCAAAAACCUCCAGUAUGGAUGUAACAACUUUUUCAGCGUCGGUGGAAAUGUUCCCUCAUAACUCAUUCUUCGCAGAAUUCUUUGAGUAUCUUCGAUUCCAACACUGUCGGGAAGUUGGGUUGAUCAUCAAUUAACAACACUUCACGAAUAACGCCUUCAUUAAUGACAAUCUCUUGACCCUGUACUUUCGCCUUCACUGUAAAGACCCUUUUGAAAAGUUAACACACAAUAUUUCCUUAUUUAAUACAUUCAAAACUUAAGCAGUGAACUCAUUGUUCUAGGGCAGUAAACUAGGAGUUUACGGCCUAAGAACUGUCAAUCGAAAAAUCGGCAAAAAUCGAUCCUGCACAUCGAAUUGAUGCGCAAUACUUGAAGAUAUGUAAAUGUAAAAAUCAGUAGCAUCAAUAUAAAUUAGAAACAAAUCCAAAUUUCAAACACUUGGAGUUUACGGCCGGAGCUUACGACCAUAAGCUCCGUCGUAUCUAUUUUUGUGAUUUCUGGCAUAAUGGCACGGUGAAACACGAAACAAAAUACAUAUUUGUGAUCUAGAAGUGAUUACCUUUGUGAUGGUGUAAGCGGUUUUUCGAAAAUCAAAGAAAUUUUUUUGAGCCUUUUGAGAGGGUUUAAGAAGUGUUUGCGGCCGGAAUCUCGUGAAUGAGGAGAUUCCGGCUGUGAACUCAUUUUUACCCAUUUUCACCCUCACUUACUCUCUCACCUGAUAACUACCCAGUAUUUUCAAUUUCCAACAAUUAAAAUUAACAAAAACUUUGAGGAUUAAUUUAAUUUCGAAAAUAAAAAUAAAAUAAAAUAAAACCUAACAAAAUACAAUAAUAAAAAAACAGGCAAUAUAAAAUAAAAUAAAACAGUAAAAAUAAAAAUUUAAAAAUAAAAUAAAAUAAAAAAUUAAAAUUAAAAUUCAAAAGCGAAAAUAAAAUUCAAAUAAAAAUUUUACACAACAAAAAAACUUAACCACUAUUACUUUUGUGAUGCUUGGAUCAAAGUUAUUGGACAAUCUUAUUUACUUCUCGGUACCCUCGUCUUCACAUUCCCGUCUGAUCGAUUGCCAGUGUUGUGGUCCACUUAAACACGAAAAACAUUUGACAUAUUUGGACACUUUACCAAUGACAAGAUUCAGGCAUAUAUCUAAUCAUAAAUAUCUAUUAUUAUGAUAAAUCCUAAAUCUUAAAUACAUUUACCCUACGACCAUUUAACUGACUGCAACCAAGGAUAUUGUUGUCCACCUAACUCGAGCAGCGAGAUCUACAAACAAUCUGUAUGUGUUCAAUUUUUAAGUGUACUAGAACGUGUUUGCCGCUUCCUAAUAUGCUCCAGCCAUCAAGAACUUCCAGAGUACUCCUUACACCGGGUGAGCAGACAACCAUUCAAAGAGAGGAUAGUUUCAGAAUUCUAUUACUUAUUACUUCAGAGGGUUUGAGAAGUAGAAGGUUGCAUAUGCUGUGUACCAGGUCGGAUUAGAAGUCACGCAGAGGGGACAACAUAUGGCUAACAGAUAAGAAGUAUUUCACAUAUAUAACAUGCAGAGAAAUAGAGUUGCAUAUGUUGUGUACCAGGUCGGAUUGGAAGUCACGCAAAGGAGACAACAUAUGUCUAACAGACGGAAAGAAAGAAAACAAUUUUCUACAACCUAAUUUAUCGGAAUUUACCAGUCACCCCAUCCAACUGGAAUUAAGGACAUAAUCCACACAUCGAGGAAAAGUGAAUCCACAGUUCUAGAUACGGGUUGUUUAAUGUGACUGGUAGAUUCCCAUGUAUAUCUCCCUGCUCAACCUAUCCGAGCAUCGUGACAUCAGGUUAAACGGAUCAAACUAGGUCAAAAUUUGUCAAGUCCAUAAAAGUUAUUAGGUUCAACUUUCCUUAGUCAAGUCCAUUUAAAAUCUUUCAUGCCUACCAGCACAUCGAGUACACAGCGUAGACGACUCAACUUAGCUAUGUUACGCCGAUUCAGAUUGUGCAUUAUCACAUGAUAAUUUCAUUUCCCAUCACAGUACUUACAACCGAAGUUGUCAACAAUAAAUUUUAAAAUGCUGAACAAAAAUGACACUAUUUUUUGUUUUUUAAUUUUUUUUGUUGUUUUUGGAUUUUUAUUUCUCCCCCUAAAUUUGUGCAUGGGUGAGAAUACGAAUAAAAAAAAGCGCAAAUUUUAAACUAACCAAAAACAAAAAAAUGAAAAUGUAAACUAAUAAAACCAAAAAUAAAUUUGAGAAAAGAAAAAUAAAUUAAAAAAUAAAAAUAAAAAACUUAAUCCUCAAAACGUAUCAUUUUCAUAAAUCCAACAAGCACAUCGAAACGAGCUUUGUUAAAUGGCUUUGUGAACAAGUCCGCCACAUUGUUAUCAGUGUGAACUUGUUCGAUUCGAAUUAAAGAUCGUUCAUAAUAGUCUCUGAUAAAGUGAAUUUUAAUGUCGAUGUGCUUGGUUUUAGAGUGUUGGACUGGGUUUUUAGCUAUUUGAAUUGCCGCUUCAUUAUCACAAUAGAUAGGGGUUUCGAAGUAAUUCAAACCGUAGUUCAACAGCUGAUGUUGGAUCCAGAUAACUUGAGAACAGCAAGCUGAUGUAGCAACGUAUUCCGCCUCUGUUGUUGAAGUCCAAACAGUGUGCUGUUUCUUGCAUUGCCAUGAAACUAAUCUGUCAACUAGGUAUUGACAUCCUCCUGAAGUUGAUUUCCUGUCAAACUCACAGCCUCCAUAAUUACUGUUAGUAAAAGCAUAUAGAUCAAAUUCAGAAUUUUUCAGAUACCAAAGACCCAAUUUAAGGCUUCCUUUGAUAUACCGAAAAAUUCUUUUAACAGCAAUAAGAUGAGAAAGUUUAGGAUUAGCCUGAUAUCGUGCGCAUUGACAGACUGCAAACAUAAUGUCAGGUCGACUUCCAGUAAGAUACAUCAGCGAUCCGAUCAUUGAUCGAUAUAGAGUUUGAUCUACGGACUUGCCUUCAGGAUCUGGAGUCAGGAGAGGUCGUUCAGCCAUCGGUGUAGAAGCAGGUUUAGCAUUGUGAAGUGCAAACUUCUCAAGAAUAUCCGCCACAUACUUGGCUUGAUGUAGCAGGAUUUCGGUUGAAUUCUGUUUAACCUGAAGCCCCAAAAACAUGGUCAUUUCUCCCAACGAACUCAUUUCAAAUCUUUUCUUCAUUACACUUUCGAACUCCUUGCAAAGCUUUUGACUCGUUGAUCCAAAGAUUAUGUCGUCGACGUAUAUUUGUACGAGUAUCUGGUCCUUGUCGACAUGCUUUAUGAGCAAUGUUUGAUCGAUAGUGCCGCGAGUGUAACCAUGUUCGAGCAAAUGCUUUGUUAGGGUUGCAUACCAUGCUCUAGGAGCUUGAUGAAGCCCAUAUAAUGCUUUGUCCAACUUGUAGACAUGAUUAGGAUACUUCGAGUCGACAAACCCUGGAGGUUGAUCAACGUAGAUUUAUUCCUUCACCUUGCCAUACAAGAAGGCAGUCUUGACAUCCAUUUAAAAAACAGUAAAGUUCAUAUACGCAGCAUACGCUAGGAAGAUACGAAUAGCCUCCAGACGAGCUACUGGAGCAUAAACUUCAGUGUAGUCAAGACCCUCGACUUGUCGAAACCCAUGAACUACCAGUCUAGCUUUGUUUCGCACAAUAACCCCUGAAUCGUCCUGCUUGUUACGAUAGACCCAUCGUGUGUCAAGAGACAUUUUGCCCUUCGGUAACUCAAAUAACUUCCAAACACCGAGUUUUCAAACUGGUGCAAUUCCUCAUGCAUUGCAUCCACCCAGCUAGGUUCAUUUAGAGUCAUUUCUACAUUCUUGGGUUCAAUCUGUGAGAUAAAGCAAGAAUACAGACAUGUAUUUACGUCUCCACUCUGGCUUCUAGUUUUAACACCAUCAUUUAGCUGGCCAAUGACAUUUUCGAUCGGAUGAUUGCGUUGAACUCUUGAAGGUAUUUCUUGGCUGAUAUCAUUUAGAGAAACAGGAAGAGUGUAAAUGUUGAUACCUUCUUCAUUUGCUGGUUGGGCAGCACCAGAUGGUUCUGCGACAUACUCAUCUGCAAUAAGAUCAGGAAAGAGUAAUUCCAUAAAUGUUGAGGAUACACCGGAAGCAUCGUUUGGAAUGAACUCUUUCUCUAUAGAUAUAUGAGGUUGUGUUCCAGCAUCAGAAGAAUCAGUAUGGACUGAUUCAGGACUAUCAUGUUCCAAGAAUGGGCUCCCAUGAGGAGAAGAAGAAGACUCUCCCGAGAAUGUAGAAGAAGACUCCCCCUCAGGUGCAGCAGAAGGCUCCCCCUCAGAUGCAGCGGAAGGCUCUCCCUUAUGCAAACUAGAGGUCACUCCCUCAAGUGAAGCUUUAGCUUUCCCUUUUGAUGAAGCAGAGGAUUUAGAUACGGGCUUGUACACAACUUCUUCGUCUUCAUCUUCAGAGAUGCUCUUCCAAUGCGAACCAGUUCUAGAUACAUCAUUUGAAUACACGUUUGUGGAUUUGAAAAGUGACGUAUAAUCAAAUAGCCAAUCCGGACCCACUCUUGCGUCUGUCUCAUUUUCUUCCAACCAACGCACGUCAUAGGAUUCCACAAUCUGUUUGGUUUUCUUAUUGUAGACUCUAUAAGCGGUGCGAGCAACAUACCCUACAAAAUAACAGUCAUCGGCUUUGGCAUUAAACUUUGGGUUGGCAUCUAGGUGAAGAAGGGUGCAAGGACAGCCAAAUACUAGGAAAUGACUGACUGACGGCUUGUGUCUAUAGUAAAUUUCAUAUGGAGCUUUCAUUUGAGCUUUGUUGAUAAGCACUCGAUUCUAAACAUAACAGGCAGUGUUUAUUGCCUUAGCCCAAAAGAAAACUGGUAGCUUUGAGUCACACAACAUCGUUAUUGCAGCGUCUUUGAGUGUUCUGUUCUGCCUUCCAACAACACCAUUUUGUUGAGGUGUAUGAGCUGAACUAAAUUGACACAGGAUACCCCUUUUAGCGCAGAAGUGAUUGAGGACAUAAUUCUUAAACUCUGUUCCAUUAUCGGUACGAAGCGCCUUCACCCUAUGAUUGGUCUGAUUCUCAACAAGUACAAUGAACUUCUUGAUCAAUUCAAUGACGCCAGCUUUGUUGGAUAGAAAGAAAACCCACGUAAAUCGAGAGAAAUCAUCAAUCACAACUAAACAGUAAGAGCUUCUGUUGAUUCUUAGCACGUUCACUAGACCAAACAAAUCCAUGUGAAGUAAUUGAAGAACCUGACUGAUUGAGUUAACCUGUUUUGGCAAGUGCGGCUUUCGAUGAUGCUUUCCUUGAGCGUACGACACACAUUUUUCAAACGUAAUAAAGUCUUUGAACGGCAAUCCACGGACCAUCUCAUUCUUUGCAAGACGAUAUAGAUUCUUGGCGUUAGCAUGACCUAAUCUUCGGUGCCACAGCAUUGCAAUUUCCUCGGAGAUCUUGGAGAAUAAACAAGUAACUUGUUCUGGGAGAUUGCUAUUCAUAUCAAUGAUAUAGGCAUUCCCAUCCCUUUUUGAUUUUACGAGAAUCCAUUCUUCUGGGAUGACAAAGCCUGGCUUUAAGAUCAUGCAUUCCUUGUUAGUGAAAUGCAUAGAAUAGCCCUUGUCACAAAUCUGAGAAACGCUUAACAGACUGUGUUUCAACUCAGGAGCGAAGUUCACGUUUUCGAAACUUAGAACUCGAUUUGACACGGUUCCUCUUUGAGUGAUUUUGCCUCUAUCUCCACCCGUAAAAGAGACAUACCCCCAUUAAAUGAUUGAAUGUUGUUCAGUUGGAUGAUAUCUCCCGUCAUAUGCCGGGAACAACCACUGUCGACGAACCAGGGUCUGACGACAUUUCCCCGUAACUGUCCCUGCAAAAUGGGCGGGUUUAAUUAGAUUUGGGCACCCAGGUCUUGAUCUUCCUGGGUGAGGACACAGGUGAUGUAUUGGGAGCAGAUUUGGGCCUCCAUUUAUAAUUAGGUUUUCUAAAUGUCUUAGUUAACUUAGUCAUUUUAUGCUUGACAGUCUGCUCAAAGCACGUGUGACUUCUACCAGAGUUGGUUGAAGAUGCACUACUGCUUUGGGAUGAGCUUGACCUUGGCGUGGCUAGGCUCCUUUUUGGUAGACUGCUUGGGACAUGGUGAUUAAAAACCUUUUUAUGUCUGUGAAAAAUAUCCCUUUUUCUAUUUCGUUCAUCUGCCCAAUCAUCAUUUCGAGAGCGACUUCUAGAGGAAUUUCUAUUUAAAGACCUUCCUCUGAACUCGUUCUCCCCUCUUGGAAGAUUAUGACUCAAAAACAUUCGAUUAAGACAAUUUCUAGCAAUAUGACCACUAGUACCACAAUUAAAACAAAUCUGCUUGUUAUUAUUAGAACUUCUGCUGCAUUUAUCAGAUUAGUUUUCCCUACAAACACCCUUGCUUCUCUCACAAGAACAUGCAACAUUAUUAGGUUGUGAGGCAAGUGAGGGUGCUAUACUUGUGGAGGGUUGUGAAACUAGUGGUGUCUCAACAUUUUUAUCACAAAUAUUCAAGUUGUCAACCAAAUUGUUCAAAAAUUUAUCAGACCUAUUAGAAGCACUCAAAACAGUAUCAGAAGUAACAACUACUGUAUCAGAAGAAUUAAAAACAGUAUCAGACGAGUCAAAAACACCACAAUAACUAUUGUCACUCAAAACAUUUGAAAAAGAAUUGUCUUUGAUUAAAACUAAAACUUCAGGUUCAGACUCAGUUUUAUGUUCAGACACAAAUCCUUUAACUUCGUGCGGUGACUGAUUCAAGGAUUGAUCUGUAGGAGAAGUAGAAAUGUUAGUACUGUCAACAUUAACAAAUCCUCCCGAAACAAAACCAUAAGAUUUGCCAUAAACCAUAGAAGAUUCAUUAGCAAUUUCUUCCUUGGACAAUGGCUUAUGUAGAUAUGAAUGAUUAAUAGGAGGUGGCACAUUAUUAUAUCCUAGACCUUUUGAUUGAUUUCUCUUAAAAUUCAUGGUGUGAUCUAUCAUAUUUGCAACUACCUCACUUGAAUGAUCAUUUUUCGAACAUCAAGCUUGGCAGUUUCAAAUUGGCUACUUAAGGAUUCAAUUUCGGCCACUAGUUCUGCGUUUUGUUUUACUACAUAAUCAUAGUUUUCACAUUUAUUACUGUAGUCCUCCUGUAGUUUUCUAAAGUCAUUUAUUUUUUAAUCUAGUUGAGCCUUAAGAGGUUUCUGACCUUUCCUAAGUUGAUAUCCUUCAUGUCUAAGGUCUUCUACGUCCCUUUUUAAUUUGUCAUUUAAUUCACGAAGGACUUUAAGGCUAUCUAGUUCGCUUUCUAAAUUUUCAAUUUUAUCAUUUAGGGUUUUCACAUAAUAAAUACAAGCCUGAGAACAGGAUGGGAGACUUACCUUGGAUGUGUUGGGUUCAUUGGAAGAGGAUACCAUCAGGGCAAACUGGAGCUUCAUCACGCUGUCCUCAGCAGCAACAAUCCCUGCUGGUGUAUCAUCCCUUACCUGUGCCAGGUGAGCAUUUUUUGGUCCGCAGAUGUUAUGAGCUUGUAUUUGAUCUUCCCAGUCAAACAAUUGUGCAACCAUAGCCUUCUCAUUGUUCGGUUGCCCACUGCUUCGGCUUCUUCCCAAUGCAACAAUUGUUCUGUCAUUAUUAAGUCUUAUAUCGGGAUGAGGACAAUCACGAGCAAAAUGCCCUGGCUCGUGGCAGUUGAAGCACUGAAGCUUUCCUUUAUUGAACCCAACCUUCCUAUCAGCGCUCAUUCCCCAAUUAUUAUUUCCUGUCUUUUUGGCAAACUGUUCUGCCCUGAAGACUGCCAUGGCAAUUUGCCAUGUGAUGUCCAUCUCCUCAACGUCCUCUGGAUGGAUUUGAUCAAGAUCUACAAACGACAAUUGAGGAGGAAGCUCCCCAGCUACAAGUGCAUUGUAGUAAUUGACUAGCCUUGCAGCAAAGACAAUGUUUUCAUCAAGCUCCUUGCCCUUGGAAGAAAAAGAAGCCACAUUUGAAGGAGCUGUCAAGAAUGAUUGGUUCUGUGGCUGGGGCAUAGCUGAGGCAGAGGGAGCAGAUGGAUGAGAGAGCAUCUGAGUCUGAGAAGGUGCAUUGAAGGAUAAGCCUGCAGAUGAAUAAGAAAAUGAAGAGAGAGCAUUAUUAGAUGAGAUGCCAAGGUUUGCAGUCGAGUAUGAAUUGACAUGAUUUAUCUCUCUUUGCUUGUCAUCAAUAUCACUUGCUUUGAUGACAGCCAUCACUUCAGCUAGGGUAAGGCGAUUGAGAUCUUUAGUCUUUUUGAUUACAGCUACAUUCAUGUCCCAAGAUUUUGGGAGGGCAUUCAGUAGCUUAUUGUUAAUCUCAGAUUUUGUAUAGAAGAUCCCUGCCACUGAUAUUUCUGUGUUGAGAGUUGUAAGUCGCUGUAGCUGGGCUUCAAGAGUCUCUCCGGGCACAUAGUUGAACAUGUUAAACCGUUGCCUUAACAUGUCUUGGCUACUUUCUCGCAAAUCCUCGUUUCCUUCAUAUACCUUAAUCAGUGCCUCCCACAAUGCUUUAGCAGAAGUGUAUUCUCUUAAAACUUGUGCAAUGUCUGGUGAUAGAGCCAUAGUUAAAAUGGCCAAUGCCUUCUCUUGUUCCUCGAUGGACUCGAAAUCUUCAUCGGUAUAAUUUUUGAUUUUCUUAUCCACCACCUAUACUGUGACUGUAGUGGUGAUUCUGAUCGGGGAAACCAUUAGCGGACAUGACUCUUGGAAUGCGCGUGGUUGUUCCCAUCACAGCAUCGAGUUCUUGAUAUUGAUUAGGAUUUUGUGAUUCCAUUUUUUAUUUAAAUCAAAGUUAAUUAAUUAUUAAAUAAAACUUAAUUUUCGAUAAAAAAAAUUACUGAAAAAAAUUUACUGUUUAUUGUCAAUUCCGAAAAUUAAUUAAUUAAACUUCAAGACAAGUUUACUGCCGAGAGAUGUUUACAGCCGUAAACUCCUUGUUUACGGCCCGUGAACUUUUUCGAAUUCUGAAACAGAAAAUUAAAGACGCAAUUUAUCUAAAAUCGAUUAGCAGAUAAUCAAUUUAAGGCCAAUGAUUUUCUGUUAAAAGUUUAUUUUAUUUUUUAAGAAUUAAAUGCAGUGAAAUAUGAUUAUUAAAACCUUUAAUCAGGGACUCAAUUUACUGGAGAAGAAAAUCGUUUGCGGUGUUUGAGCCUUGAAUAGCUUGCGCCCAUGAACUUGGUGUUUACGGCCGUAAGCUAGGACCAUGAACUUCUGAACACACGAAAUUCGACUGGAAUAAAACCCUUCUUUCGCUAUGAAUAUCGUUUUGAGCAAAAUCGCAACUAUAGGACGUCUUUGACACUGGUCUCGCUCUGAUACCAAUUGUAAAGCCUGAAAACGAAUCUACCAAUGAUCAAAGACAAAUAACAGAAGCAAAAGAUAAAACAAUAAGCAAAUAACAAACGAACCAAGCUUGCAUACGCCUUAAAGCAAUAAAACGUCAGAUACAACUUGGAGAAAUCACGAAGGCAUCAACAACCUUUAAAGUCUGACACAACGCCCUAUUUAUAAACCUGACUUACAACCGUGAGGUGUUUACGGCCGCAAGGAGCUUACGGCCGUAAACACAUAACAACCGUAAACUAGACAAAAUCGGUUUUUCCUACACAAUCACUACCACUAACUAGUAUGCCUAGACCAAACCAUUAUACAGGGUCUUUCAAAACCCAUGGGUCAUGGAAAUGAAGAGUCAUGUCACAUUAGGGUUUACAUGGUGUAAGCCAAAUUGUAACACACUAUAUAAAGGAUAUGAAGCUCACCAAAAUCGGUUACUAGAAGCAAGAUAGAGGGCAUAGCCGAUUCUAAGUGUGUGACAUUUCUCUCAAGGUUUAUUGCAAGUGCAUUCGGUGUUGUGUGAGACAUUUGAGGCAUCACACUUUGCCACACCCCCGAACCAGACGGCGGAAACGUCCGGGGGCUUGUGCGUGACUUCAUCUUGAAAUAUCAUUACAGUGAAUAUAAUUGUAACAUAACAUCAUCAUCAUCACACAUGUAAUAUAACAACAUUCAUUGUUUACAUCGAGUAUUGUAUUUGAAUAUUACAUCCCAAAAUAGUAAGAGUAUGAUGAAACAAAAUAUAACACAAUAUCCAUUAGCUUGUUUCGUUCAUCCUGCUUCAAUGGUUUCCUGAGAAUACAAGUUAUUUUGAAAAUGGUCAACAUAAAAAUGUUGGUGAGUUCAUAAGCAUGUUUGUGAAAAUGAUUUGUAUAACUUUAAAAACCACCAGAAAAUCCGAUAUUUUCUGAAAACUGUUUAGUGUGUUUGUGUUGGAUCUUGUAUUAAUGCAUGUAUGUUAUUGUUUAUUUGACUAAAACGGUAAAGAAAAUGUAGAGAGAAUGUAAGAGGAUGUAGAGAGAAUGUUCCCAGACAACCCGAUGUUGUCUGUAAAAAAAAAAGGGUCUUCCGUAAACUUCAUAAUGUUAAUUCCUCUAAGCGAAUCGUCAUAACCAUACUAAAUAAUGACAAUUUCGCCUGUCUAGGCGUCGUUGGAAGUCGGUUUUGACUUUGAUUAUAAGGUUUUUGUCACCCUAGCCUGAGUUAGUCUAACUGUAGCGAACAACUCAGGUGUGGGGCCUCAUCCCUGUAUAGAUCUAUACACAAAUCCCCAUUCUCCCUCCAAGAGACUCUGCUUAUAACUACAGGCUACGAUUACACUUAAUAGGUGCCAACCGUUAAAAACUCACUAGAUCCUUAACCGAAUUUACGCGAAGAAAAAGGUAUAAACUCCUUCCAGGACCACUGAUCGAUGUAAGUGAACCACUAAGGCAUCGCGAAACAUGUAAAUCAUUCAAGACCCAAUUGGAAUGAGAUUAUAUAACAUGGACCCGGAAUAUAUAUGAAAGGACAACUAAGGCCCAUUUCACAUGUAAAGUAUUUACAGGCCCAAAUAGCACACAAAUAGUAUCCAAGGUCCGUCGCACAUGUUAAUGGGUCAAUGAGGCCCAAUAAACAUAUACAACACCUCUCACACAUAAAAAUAAUGGGCCACUAAGGCCCAAUAACCUAGAAAAUGAUCAAAUUAAAUCCAUUUGUUGGUUUAUCAUUGGUUUUAGCUCAAGUAUUCACUAAAAUAGCAUAAAAAGAAGAAUGCAUAUAAAACCCAUUCCCAGGCCCAAUAAACAUGUAAGUGGACCACUAAGGCCCACUAUACGUGUCUAUUUUUUCCAGGCUCAAAAGCAAUGUGAAUGUCUAUCCUAAGCCCAAUAUACAUGUAUAAGGACACUAAGGCCCACUAAACAAGCAUAUUAUUUCCAAGCCCAUUAAGGAUAUGAAUACCUAUCCCGAGCCCAAUAUACAUGUAAAAGGACACUAAGGCCCACUAAACAUGUAUAAUAUUUACAGGCCCAAUAAGGAUAUGAAUAUCGUUUCUAACCCGUUUGUUAUUGUUUUGUUUAUUGUAGCUUGAUUAUUUAAAAAGUUGAUAUAAAAGCCCACUUUUUGUAAAAAUGGCGUUCUUGGCCCAAUAAGCCAAAAAUUUACAAUUAAGGCCCAAUUUUUGUAAGAAUAACACUUUAGUCUCCAUUUUGUUCAAAACUUGUGUUGAUGAGUAGUUUGUAGUAAAAAUAACAUUUUAAACCCAUUUUUGUCAAAAAUAUCAUUUUUGGCUUGGUUUUUGUGAAAAUACACAUUUUUCUGGUCUUUGAUUUUUCCGACCUAGUUUUUAGAAAAUUUUUAGAAAAUUAAUCGUAAGACAAAAUUUUGAUCCGUAGAUUCUAGUAGUUUGGAAAUUCUGUCUACUUUGUUCACAAUUUUUCUCAUAAUUUUUAUGGCCUCAAACUAGUGUGAAAUUACUCAUCUUCACAGGUUGGUCCGAACUUAUUUCAAAUAUGAUAGGCAGUUUUGUAAAAUUCGCAAAAAAUUGUAGAAAAAUCAUAUGAAAACGUGAGAGUAGUCAUUUUAAAGGUAUAAAUCUAAGCUUUAUCCACGUAAAACAGCUUUGAAAAUACUUCCAUUAAGAUGGUCAAAACAGUCCGAGAUUGGACCAAAACGUUUCUGUCAAGGGCUGUUUUGUGAGUUUAGUUUAUAGAUCUUUGAACACAACACUUAUUUUUGCUAUAUCAAGUAUAUAAAUCCCAGAUCUACAUGUUUACAUGUAAUACUUGUGAUAAAACAUACUUUUCUCAAGAUUCAUAGGAAGAUCCUAGUGAUAAACUUCAAGUUUCUUAACAUAUUUUUAGAUUAGUGAAGUAAUCAACACAUAAUCACCAAAUGUUUCAAGAAAACACACAUAAUCAUGCAUAUACACAUAGAUCUCCACAAUUCAACUUGUAUUCUCCCCCCAAAAACAAGUAAAAACCAAAAACAAGGGGGUAUGUACUCGCUUUUCUUGUUGAUUUCUGCUUUAGUGAAGAAAGAAGAAGCUUUCGGCUCUUGCAAGCUUCCCUUGAGUAGAUCUCGAGUUCUAUGGAGUUCUAGGGUAUGGAUCAUGAAAUGAUGUAGGUUAAGAAGAGAUUUUGAUAUAAUCUUGAAGUUAAAACAUAGAUCCAAGUAAGUACUUACCAAAGAUGAUGAUUUAGAUGAAGAUCCUCUUGAGAGCACCCAAAAUCUUGAAAUUUUGAUGGGUGAAAGAAGAUUUUUUGAGAUGAUUUUUGAGAGGGUUUGAAAGUGGAGUGUGUGUGUGUGUUCCUUUGGCUGAAAGAAUAAGAGGGGAGAGAGAGAUAUAGAGUUUGAUUAAUGGUGGUGGGAGUGGUGCAUGGAUACAUGCACUCUUGCAUGGAUAUCCAACAAAUUAAGUUAGGUGUCAUGUGUUAGGCAAGUCCUCAUUUUCCAUAUAUUUUUUUUUAUUUCUUGGGCCGAGAAUGGGCCUAAUGGAGUGAAGGAAAAUGAUUUUGGACUCACUCUCUUGGCUUUAUCCGAAUUUCCUAGGUCCAAUAAUGUUUUUCGGCCCAUUAUGGUAUAAAAGAAUGGUUUUAUGGUCUAUUAGGGCUAAGUAAUUUAUUUAUGGCCCAAAAAGGCCGAUUAGGGUUAGAAUUAAUCAUUCUAGGCCCAAAUGGCCCAAAAUGUUAUAGAUUGAUGAAUUGAUGAUCUAUUGGUCCCUUAGGCCCAACAAGAGAAUCCUAGUCCACAAUAAACUUGAGCCGGGAUUUCUAGGGUUUCCAACCUUACUUGCACAUAUGAGAUGAAUUUGAAUGAGAAUAGAGUAUAGUAUUCACUUAGAGUAUAGGCUUUUACAAUGGAUGAUGUUUAUAUGAGAAUAGAAUUUCCUAGCUAAAAAUGCUAGUUGUGACAUCAUCCCCCCGUUAGAGGGAAUUUCGUCCCGAAAUUCUUUCGAAAGAUACGUUCAUGAAUGAGAGAAUGAGUACUUCAUCUGAUCUUCGUGUUUCCCAUGUGAAUUUUGGUCCACGCUUGGUGCUCCAUCGAACCUUCACAAUCAGAAUGCGGCAUUGCUUUGUACGCUUUACUUCCUUAUCCAAUACAUCGACUGGUUCUUGGAUGAAAAGGAGAUUCUCGUUUAUUUUGACCUCUUUCUAGAGAAAUAAUAAGAGUUUUUCCUGAUAGGCAGUUUUUCAUAUUCAAUACGCUGAAUAUAGGGUGUGCGUUGCUGAGCUCUACAGGCAGCUGUAGCCUAUCAGUAUUUGGACCAAUCCGAGCAAGAAUCUCGAACAAUCCAAUGUAUCGCGGGUUUAGUUUUCUCAUUUCCUAAAGCAAAUCAAUCCUUUAUUUGGAAAGAAUUUAAAUCAUACAUAGCCUCCGACUUGGAAUUCCAGAGGUUUUCGUCAUUUGUCAGCAUAACUCUUCUGCACUUCUCGUGAUGCUUGAAGUCGAGUUCUGAUUUUGGAUUAUCUUCUCUGUCGUUUCGCGAAUGGUUUCUGGUCCCAUAAGAGUACUGGCGAGUGAUCCGCAUUUUCGACCAUAAAGAGUCUCGAAAAGAGCAUCCUUGAUGCUCGUGCAAUAGCUGUUAUUACGUGAGAAUUCAAUCAAGGGCAAUCGGGUAUCCCAUGACUUGCUAAAUUCAAACACCCAGACUUGUAGCAUGAAUUCGAGUGGUUGAAUGGUUUGUUUGCUUUGGGUAUUGGUUUGAGGGUGGUAAGCAAUGCUCAUACUUAGCUAUGUUCCCAUAGCCUUCUGAAAUGACUAUCAAAGUCUUGAAGAAAUCCCGUUAUCUCGAUCCGAGAUAGUGGAUACCGAUAUUUCAUGGAGUCUCACGAUCUCCCUGAUAUAGAUCCAAGCUAAUCUUUCUGUCUUGUUAGAUUUUUGUAUUGGCAGGAAAUGGGCGGAUUGUGUUAACAUAUGGACCAUCACCCAGAUAACGCCCAACUCAACUCUUAUAACAAUAAGCUUCGUCUUUUGACUUCGAGAGUUUUAUCCAUCCACGUUGUGUUUUCUUCACGAUAUUCUACGGCUUUAAUGCUUUCAAGGCUGGUCGUAGAUGUUGGCAGAGUUUUGUUCUUGCUUUGUGAGCAGACGAGUAUGUUAUCGAUGAAAAUAAUUAAAAAGUAUGACUAGGAAUGGUUGGAAUAACUCGGUUCGUAGGGUUCAUGAAUACUGCGGGAGCAUUCAUUAGACCGAAGGGUAUCACAAUGAAUUUGAAAUGGUCGCAACGAGUUCGGAAGGCAGUUUUUGGAAUGUCGUCUUCUCGGACUCGAAGUUGAUGAUAACCGGUUCUUAGAUCUAUUUCAGAGAAGUAACUAGCACCUUGGAGCUGGCCAAAUAGAUCGUCAGUCCGAGGGAGUGGGUAUCGGUUUUUGAUAGUGAGCUUAUUCAAUUUCCUAAAAUCAAUGCACAUUCUAAAGGAUCCGUCUUCUUGAAGAACAAGAUCGGAGCUCUCCAGGGUGAGAAGCUUGGUCCGCUGAAUCCUUUGCACAACAAUUCUUCUCAAUUGACUGGAUAACUUGUGAAUUUUUGGCGGGAGUCAACCUAUAGGGUGAAUUGGCAAUUGAUGUGGUUCCCGGUAUUAGGUUGAUUUCAAAUUUGACCUGUCUUUCUAGAGGUAUUCCCGGAUGUUCUUCAGGAAAUACAUUCAGAAAAUUGCAUGCUACCAGAAUACCAUGUAUGCUUACUUCUUGCUUGGUAUUGUCCAUAACAUGAGCAAGGAAAACGUAGUUUUUCUGGUCCAGGCACUUCUGUGCCUUGAUGCAUGAGAUAGGAAGAGGAUUGGCGCCAGGUUUAUCACCAUGGAUUAUUAGAGUUUUGUGAUUGGGAAGGUGAAGGGAAACGGCCUUCUCGCGACACAUAAUAUCAACACGGUGGGGGCUUAACCCACCAUGCCGAUUAUCACAUCAAAACUCCUAAUAUUUACUGGCAUCAAAUCUAUUUGAAAUGAAUGGUUUUUUAGUGUUAAGGUGUUCCCUACAUAAUUAUCUUUGGUUGAUGCGGUUUUCCCCUUAGUUAUUUCCACCGUUAAGGCUUAGUUUAGCCUCCGGGGUUGUGGUUUUAGUAAGUGUUUGAAUAUGUUACUAACGAAGAUUCACUCAGCUUUACUAUUGAAUAAGAGGUAAGCGAAAGAGUUGUUAAGGGAGAACGUACCAAUAACAACCGUUGGGUCUUGGAAUGCUUCGUCUUGACCCAAGGUAAGGACCAUUUCCGAUCCUUCUGCUCCUUGAUUGUUAUCCUUGGGGCAAUUGUGCCUGAAGUGACUGGUUCCUCCAUACCCAUAGCAGGUGUGACUGGUAUCAUCAUUGGUGUUGUUUUUAGGGUUGUUGCGAUUGUUGUCGUUUUCAUUUGGCUGACGAUUCUGGCAUGGAUAAGUUCUACAGAAUUUGGCGGUGUGAUUCUUUCGGUUGCAUUUGUUACAAUGCAUCUCCCGGAAGGCUCCAUUAUGAUGGAAUUUGCACUGGUUGCAUUUUGGAAGGCUUCAAACAUAUGGUCUCCUAGUUGUUAGUGUAAUAGGGGUCAUGGUCGCAUGAACCGCAACAACAUGUUGCUUCCUUGAGAAUCCUUGAGUGGGUUGUCCCUUUCUCUUACAUCCAGGAUUUUGCUUCCUGCUCUUAAGCUUGGGGUUUAGUGUGCCUUGACAAGCUGUCACUUAUUGGUUCCCAUGCUCGUUCCUUUGGCUGGAGUUGUCAAUGCUAUUUCCGCCUCCAUUGGGAUUGUUUGCAUUGAUUUGUGCCAUAGAAGCGGUUACUGCCGCCAUUACAGCACCUUGGAAUGUAGCAGAGUCCAUCUGCAGGGGCGGUGUCUCGCGGGUGCGCUUGUUAUUCUUACGGGAUGGCAUUUUCCUGCUACACGUUGAUAAUCCAGAUCGUAAGUAAUGAUCGUCAUUCCUGGUUGUACUCUAUAAAUUUUGCAUCUUGUUGUAUAAUUCUUACUGCUUCCAUCUACAUCCCUAUGAUGUAUUUGCGGUAGUAGGUAACCACAGAUUUGGCACGAUCGUCAUGUCUAUCCUUAGAGUAUAUAGGUUUUUUUGGUUUCGAGACCCUUAAGUAUCUAGCGGUUUUGAGGGUUCGCUUGUGCAUAUAAUUAAGUCUAUGUAGUAAUAUGAAAUAAAGAUAGCACAUAAUUGUUCCAAUGCUAAGUACCAUCUUAGUACACGAAAAAGAGUCAUGUCGGAUAGUAGGGGGAAGUUGAAAAGGUUGAUCCUAAUUGUGGAGGGAAGUGUCUGGUGGUGGUGAUGAUGAAGUCGAUGCACCUCAGAGACGAGCUACUUGUUGUUCGGUAUCUCGUAGUCGUACUUCCCAAACUAAUUGUCUCGCUCGAGAGUCUCCAUUCACUUCCUGUGUUUGCCUCUCAUCUCUCUCAAUAGCGAACCACAUUUGUUCCAUUCGACUUGGGGGGUCUUGAGCUUUGUUGUCAAUACCUCGGGUGCGCCGGACCAUGACUGGGAGGGACCGGUCAGCUGGUCCACUACGACUAAGAUCGAAGUGACCUCAGUUCCUACCGUAGUGUGGUUGUAUCCCCUGUUGGUGACUCUAUCUCCAAAUAUCGUGUGCCCAAGGGGGCAUGGGGCCACCGGGGCCCACACGAUAUGUCGGUACUCUGGCUUUACAUGGAGGAUUGAUGUCAUCGGAUUCUAUAUCCGAGUCAUCAUCAUCAUUGCCCUCGGGCUCUUCCUCUUUGUGGUUCACUAUUGACUCGGCUGGUCCAUUUGCAAGUUCUACUUUGUGUUCCUCCUCUGGUUCUUCCUGUGAGUCUCCUUUUGGGUCUUCCUCUGGGUCGAGCUACCCUUCUAUUCCCUGACUAGGGAGAUAGGGGUUUCCUGGCUAAUGAUAAUUGUCUAUAGUGUAUUACACGAAGGGGUAUAAAUACUAGAAACAAAUAGCAUACCAAUUACUCCUAUAGUAAUUUAAUUUUGUUUAGGUUUGGUUCUAUAAGCUCUUUGGAUAAUUAAAUGGUAAGUUUUUGAUUCAUUUUCCAUCACAAUUACUCCCGAACACAUGUUGGUCGUAUUUUGAAUGAAUGUUGUUGAUCAGGCUACAUUCACACCUAAUACGACAACAUAACUGCCCGAGUUUAAUAGCGAUGUUCAAAUCCUCCAAAGACUUUUACUGUUCUUGUUGUCUUAUUAUUCUAAAAUGCACACAAAGGUAUGUAUUUUAAUUAUCAUGUUCAGAGUUGUUUAGUCCCAUUGUAUUUAUAGUUGCAUACCUGUAGAUUAGAUAUGAUAGUGCACUAUAAACAAUGCUCUGAUUCCAAUCUGUCACACCCCCGAACCAGACGGCGGAAACGUCUGGGGGCUUGUGCGUGACUUCAUCUUGAAAUAUCAUUACAGUGAAUAUAAGUGAAACAUAACAUCAUCAUUAUCAUCACACAUGUAAUAUAACAACAUUCAUUUUUUACAUCAAGUAUGGUAUUUGAAUAUUACAUGCCAAAAUAGUAAGAGUAUGAUGAAGCAAAAUAUAACACAAUAUCCAUUAGUUUGUUUCGUUCAUCCUGCUUCAACGGUUUUUUGAGAAUACACGUUAUUUUGAAAACGGUCAACAUAAAUAUGUUGGUGAGUUGAUAAGCAUGUUUGUGAAAAUGAUUUGUAUAACUUUGAAAACCACCAAAAAAUCCGAUAUUUUCUGAAAACUGUUUAGUGUGUUUGAGUUAGAUCUUGUAUUAAUGCAUGUAUGUUAUUGUUUAUUUGACUAAAACGGUAAAGAAAAUGUAGACAAAAUGUAAGAGCAUGUAGAGAGAAUGUUCCCAGACAACCCGAUGUUGCCUGUAAAAAUAAGGGUCUUCCGUAAACUUCAUAACGUUAAUUCCUCUAACCGAGUCGUCACAACCAUACUAAAUAAUGACAAUUUCGCCUGUCUAGGCCUCAUUGGAAGUCGGUUUUUACUUUGAUUAUAAGGUUUUCAUCACCCUAGACUAAGUUAGUCUAACUGUAGCGAACAACUCAGGUGUGGGGCAUCAUCCCCAUAUAGAUCUAUACACAAAUCCCCAUUCUCCCUCCAAGAGACUCUGGUUAUAACUACAGGCUACGAGCGUAUUCUUAAUAGGUGCCAACCGAUAAAAACUCACCAGAUCGUUAACCGAAUUUACGCGAAGAAAAAGGUAUAAACUCCUUCCAGGCCCAAUGAUCCAUGUAAGUGAACCACUAAGGCAUCGCUAAACAUGUAAAUCAUUCAAGACCCAAUUGGAAUGAGAUUAUAUAACAUGGACCCGAAAUAUAUAUGAAAGGACAACUAAGGCCCAUUUCACAUGUAAAGUAUUUACAUGUCCAAAUAGCUUACAAAUAGUAUCCAAGAUCCGUCGCACGUGUUAAUGGGUCAAUGAGGCCUAAUAAACAUUCACAGGACCUCUCACACAUAAAAAAAUGGGCCACUAAGGCCCAAUAACCUAGAAACUGAUCAAAUUAAAUCCAUUUGUUGGUUUAUCAUUGGUUUUAGCUCAAGUAUUGACUAAAAUAGCAUAAAAAGAUGAAUGCAUAUAAAACCCAUUCCCAGGCCCAAUAAAUAUGUAAGUGGACCACUAAGGCCCACUAUACGUGUCUAUUAUUUCCAGGGUCAAAAGGAAUGUGAAUGUCUAUCCUAAGCCCAAUAUACAUGUAAAAGGACACUAAGGCCCACCGAACAAGUAUAUUAUUUCCAGACCCAAUAAGGAUAUGAAUACUUAUCCCGAGCCCAAUAUACAUGUAAAAGGACACUAAGGCCCACUAAACAUGUAUAUUAUUUCCAGGCCCAAUAAGGAUAUGAAUAUCGUUUUUAACCCGUUUGUUAUUGUUUUGUUUUUUGUAGCUUGAUUAUUUACAAAGUUGAUAUAAAAGCCCACCUUUUGUAAAAAUGACAUUCUUGGCCCAAUAAGCCAAAAAUUUACAAUUAAGGCCCAAUUUUUGUAAGAAUAACACUUUAGUCUCCAUUUUGUUCAAAACUUGUGUUGAUGACUAGUUUGUGGUAAAAAUACCAUUUUAAACCCAUUUUUGUCAAAAAUAUCAUUUUCGGCUUGGUUUUUGUGAAAAUACACAUUUUUCUGGUCUUUGAUUUUUUCGACCUAGUUUUUAGAAAAUUUGUAUAAAAUUCAUCGUAAGUCGAAAUUUGGAUCCGUAAAUUUUGGAAGUUUGGAAAUUUUGUCUACUUUGUUCAAAAUUUUUCGCAUAAUUUUUGUUGGCCUCAAACUAGUGUCAAAUUACUCAUCUUCACAGGUUGGUCCGAAAUUAUUUCAAAUAUGAUAUGCAGUUUUGUAAAAUUCGCCAAAAAUUGUAGAAAAAUCGUCUGAAAACGUGAGAGUAGUUAUUUUAAAUGUAUAAAUCUGAAAUUUAUCCAUGUAAAACAGUUUUGAAAAAUACUUCCAUUAAGAUAGUCAAAACAGUCCGAGAUUGGACCAAAACUUUUCUGUCAAGGGCUGUUUUGUGAGUUUAGUUUAUAGAUCUUUGAACACAACACUUAUUUUUGCUAUAUCAAGUAUACAAAUCCCAGAUCUACAUGUUUACAUGUAAUACUUGUGAUAAAACAUACUUUUCUCAAGAUUCAUAUGAAGAUUCUAGUGAUAAACAUCAAGUUUCUUAACAUAUUUUUAGAUUAGUGAAGUAAUCAACACAUAAUCACCAAAUGUUUCAAGAAAACACACAUAAUCAUGCAUAUACAAAUAGAUCUACACAAUUCAACUUGUAUACUCCCCUAAAAACAAGUAAAAACCAAAAACAAGGGGGUAUGAACUCACCUUGCUUGUUGAUUUCGGUUUUAGUGAAGAAAAGAAGAAGCUUUCGGCUCUUGCAAGCUUCCCUUGAGUAGAUCUCGAGUUCUAUGGAGUUCUAGGGUAUGGAUUAUGAAAUGAUAUAAGUUAAGAAUAGAUUUUGAUGGAUUCUUGAAGUUAAAACAUAGAUCCAAGUAAGUACUUACAAAAGAUGAUGAUUUAGAUGAAGAUCCUCUUGAGAGCACCAAAAAUCUCGAAAUUUUGAUGCGUGAAAGAAGAGUUUUUUAGAUGAUUUUUGAGAGGGUUUGAAAGUGGAGUGUGUGUGUGUGUGUGUGUUCUUUUGGCCGAGAGAAUAAGAGGGGAGAGAGAGAUAUAGAGUUUGAUUAAUGGUGGUGGGAGAGGUGCAUGGAUACAUGCACUCUUGCAUGGAUAUCCAACAAAUAAAGUUAGGUGUCAUGUGUUAGGCAAAUCCUCAUUUUCCAUGUAUAUUAUUUUACUUUCUUGGUCCGAGAAUGGGCCUAAUGGAGUGAAGGAAAAUGAUGUUGGGCUCACUCUCUUGGCUUUAUUCGAAUUUCCUAGGUCCAAUAAUGUUUUUCGGCCCAUUAUGGUAUAAAAGAAUGGUUUUAUGGUCCAUUAGGGAUAGAAUGAAUCAUUAUACGCCCAAAUGGCCCAAAAUGUUACAGAUUGAUGAAUUGAUGAUCUAUUGGUCCCUUAGGCCCAAUAAUAGAAUCCUAGUCCACAAUGAACUUGAGCCGGGAUUUCUAGGGUUUCCAACCCUUACUUGCACAUAUGAGAUGCAUUUGAAUGAGAAUAGAGUAUAGUAUUUACUUAGAGUAUAGGCUUUUACAAUGGAUGAUGUUUAUAUGAGAAUAGAAUUUCCUAGCAAAAAAUGCUAGUUGUGACAUCAUCCCCCCGUUAGAGGGAAUUUCGUCCCGAAAUUCUUUCGAAUCAUAGAUUCAUGAAUGAGAGAAUAGGUACUUCAUUUGAUCUUCGCGUUUCCCAUGUGAAUUUUGGUCCACGCUUGGCGCUCCAUCGAACCUUCACAAUCGGAAUGCGGUAUUGUUUUGUACGCUAUACUUCCUUAUCCAAUACAUUGACUGGUUCUUGGAUGAAAUGGAGAUUCUCGUUUAUUUUGACCUCUUUCUAAAGAAAUGAUAAGAGAUUUUCCUGAUAGACACUUUUUCAGAUUCGAUACGCUGAACAUAGGGUGUGCGUUGCUGAGCUCUACAGGCAGCUGCAGACUAUCAGUCUUUGGACCAAUCCGAGCAAGAAUCUUGAACAAUCCAAUGUAUCGUAGGUUUAGUUUUCUCAUUUCCUAAAGCAAAUCAAUCCUUUAUUUGGAAAGAAUUUAAAUCGUACCCAGCCUCCGACUUAGAAUUCCAGAGGUUUUCGUCAUUUGUCAGCAUAACUCUUCUGUCCUUCUCGUGAUGCUUGAAGUCUAGUUCUGAUUUUGGUUUAUCUUGUCUGUCGUUUCGCGAAUGGUUUGUGGUCCCGUGAGAGUACUUGCGAGUGAUCCACAUUUUUGACCAUAAAGAUUCUCGAAAAGAGCAUCCUUGAUGCUCGUGCAAUAGAUGUUAUUGCGUGACAAUUCAAUCAAGGGCAAUCGGGUAUCCCAUGACUUGCUGAAUUCAAACACCCAGACUUGUAGCAUGAAUUCGAGUGGUUGAGUGGUUCAUUUGAUUUGGCUAUUGGUUUGAGGAUGGUAAGCAAUGCUCAUACUUAGCUAAGUUCCCAUAGCCUUCUGAAAUGACUGUCAAAGUCUUGAAGAAAUCUCGUUAUCUCGAUCCGAGAUAGUAGAUACCGAUAUUUCAUGGAGUCUCACGAUCUCCUUGAUAUAGAUCCAAGCUAAUCUUUCCGUCUUGUUAGAUUUUUGUAUUGGCAGGAAAUGGGCGGAUUGUGUUAACCUAUGGACGAUCACCCAGAUAACGCCCAACUCAACUCUUAUAACAAUAAGCUUCGUCUUUUGACUUUGAGAGUUUUAUCCAUCCACAUGGUGUUUUCUUCACGAUAUUCUCCGGCUUUAAUGCUUUCAAGACUGGUCGUAGAUGUUGGCAGAGUUUUGUUCUUGCUUCGUGAGCAGAUGAGUAUGUUAUCGAUGAAAAUAAUUAAAAACGCUGACUAGGAAUGGUUGGAAUAACUCGGUUCGUAGUUCCAUGAAUACUGUGGGAGCAUUCAUUAGACCGAAGGGUAUCACAAUGAAUUUGAAAUGGUCGCGACGAGUUCGGAAGGCAGUUUUUUGAAUGUCGUCUUCUCGGACUCGAUGUUGACGAUAAGCGGUUCUUAGAUCUAUUUUAGAGAAGUAACUAGCACCAUGGAGCUUGCCAAAUAGAUCGUCAGUCCGAGGGAGUGGGUAUCGGUUUUUGAUAGUGAUCUUAUUCAAUUUCCUAAAAUUGAUGCACAUUCUAAAGGAUCCGUCUUCUUGAGGAACAAGAUCGGAGCUCUCCAGGGUGACAAGCUUGGUCCGAUGAAUCCUUUGCGCAACAGUUCUUCUCAAUUGAUUGGAUAACUUGUGAAUUUUCGGUCGGAGUCAACCUAUAGGGUGAAUUGGCAAUUGAUGUGGUUCCUGGUAUUAGGUCGAUUUGAAAUUUGACUUGUCUUUCUAGAGGUAUUCCCGGAAGUUCUUCGGGAAAUACAUUCAGAAAAUCGCAUGCUAGCGGAAUACCUUGUAUGCUUACUUCUUCCUUGGUCUUGUCCACAACAUGAGCAAGGAAAAGAUAGUUCUUCCGGUCCAGUCACUUCUGUGCCUUGAUGCACGAGAUAGGAAGAGGAUUGGCACCAGGUUUAUCACCAUGGAUUAUUAGAGCUUUGUGGUUGGGAAGGUGAAAGGAAACGACCUUCUCACGACACAUAAUAUCAGCACAGUGGGGGCUUAACCCAACCAUGCCGAUUAUCACAUCAAAACUCCUAAUAUUUACUGGCAUCAAAUCUAUUUGUAAUGAAUGGUUGUUUAGUGUUAAGGUGUUCCCUACAUAAUUAUCUUUGGUUGAUGCGGUUUUCCCCUUAGUUAUCUCCAUCGUUAAGACUUAGUUUAGCCUCCGGGGUUGUGGUUUUAGUAAGUGUUUGAAUAUGUUACUAACGAAGAUUCAAUCAGCUUUACUAUUGAAUAAGAGGUAAGUGAAAGAGUUGUUAAGUGGGAACGUACCAAUAGCAACCGUUGGGUCUUGGAAUGCUUCGCCUUGACCCAAGGUCAGGACCAUUUCCGAUCCUUCUGCUCCUUGAUUGUUAUCCUUGGGGCAAUUGCGCCUGAAGUGAUUGGUUCCUCCAUACCCAUAGCAAGUGUGACUGGUCUCAUCAUUGGUGUUGUUGUUAGGUGCGACAACCAUCAAUUUCCGGUCAAGUCAAAGUCAACUAAAGUCAACAAGUCAAAUCGAUCGACUCAAUUAGCCCGUGAGUACUAGGGCUUACGUGGGUAAUUACUAUACAACUCGCUAUUCUAAUGAGAGAUCAUAAAUUGAAAAGUUCGUACAUCUAGAUUUCCUUAACCUUAAACCGUGGUAAGUAACAAACCACACCGAUAAAACAAUGUUGCAUACUCAUUGGGAGUGUGUAAGAUCUUUUAACACGGCUUAAUGGGGCUUACGGACCUUGUGAUGCGGAGCCAAACACUCACAAAUGUCACACAUGAAACCUUUUUCAAUCGUUUUCACUAUAUCUUUAUCUAGAAACCUCUCCCAAAUCCCUCCAAGAAUGUGAAAUCUCUCCAAGAAUGUGAAAUCUCUCCCAAAUCUCUCUUUGUAUGAGAAAUCUCUCCAAGAAUGUGAAAUUUCUCCCAAAUCUCUCUUUGUAUGAGAAAUCUCUCCAAGAAUGUGAAAUCUCUCCCAAAUGUCUCCAAGAAGGUGAAAUCUCUCUCAAAACCUCUUUUGGAUUUAUUCUGAUCACUUGGUGAAAAACCACUCUACACGGGGAGAGUCCUUUGAAAUUAGCCUCUUAGGGCUAAAGCCUCUCUAUAGGGGCCAAAACCCUUCUUGAACCGAGGUCAAAGGAGUCAGGCCGAGGAGACCGCGGCCAUCCAAAGCCGCAUCCGAGGAGACCACAGUCGUCCAGCCGUAGCGAGCCUCGCCUCCUAACCGCAUUAAGACUUCAGACUACAACCCUGUUUCCUUCAGAUCCGCCUCCGCGACCAAGACCUCCCUUCGGAUGUGGACUGCUGAUGACUGAGCCUUAGCGCCUCCGGUCCAGGACUUCGGAUUUCUUCAUUUUUCACCCGGUUUUCGAUCAUUUCUCCGUUUUAAGUCUGUUUUUAAUCAUUUUAACGUGGGAUUUUCUCAAAAAAUCCUAUUUUAACAUAUAAGACCCUAAAUAUUCAUAAUUUGGGCAUAUUUUUAUGGAAAUAUUUAUUUAAGAAUAAAAUCAUUUAACUGAGAUCAUGAGGUGGAGUGUAAAUCUUGCCAUAAUAUUUGACACACACCACCACCCCAUGCCCAUUCCUUUGACCAAUCCUUGUACUCCUAGUCACUUCAAGACACAAUCCCUCUCCUUUCCCAGCAACUCACGUUCAAAGGAGCCGGAGAACACACUUAUCUCUCUUCAUUUCCCUCACUUCACACAUUUUCCUCAUUUUCACCAAGAAGAUCAAACAACCUUUUCUCUCAAACUUCCUCCCUCAAAUUCAAGAUUCAAUGCUGAUUAUCAAGCUUUGUCACACUCUUGGUAAGUAUAAUCCAUACUCUCUAUGAUUAUUACACUUCCUUUUUUCUCAAAUCAAUGAAUUCCUUACACAAACAUCAUCACAUUCUUGUUAGAUCUUCGAAUCUUCAAGUGAUUCUUCAAGUGUUCUUGAGUUGAACACUUCUCUUCUUCAACACUCAUCUACUGAAACCACUCAAGGUGAGUUCAUACCCCUACAUUUUCAUGUUUUCUCAAGUUUUUAGGGGGGGGGGGAAACAAGUUAAAACCAAAAAAACCAAACUAAAAUUUUCUAACAACUUUCAUCAGAAAAGUUGGACUCCAUUCACGGAUUGUUUUGGGCAACAUAAAUUUUUUUUCAAAAAUGUUUUAGGUGGAAGUAGUUACAGUUCUUAGCUUUAAAAUGACUACUUUCACAUCUCCAUACGAUUUUUCUACGAUUUAUGGUUAUUUUUACAAAACUGCCUAUCAUUUGAAACAUCAAUCCGGACCAGUCUGUGAUUAUGGACUUGUUCACACAAGUUAGAGGUCAUUAAAAUUCAUAAUAAAAAUUAUGAACAAACUACACUAAUUUCCCAAACUCACAAAAUUUACGGAUUCUGAUUUGGACCUUUGAUGAUUUUUGUAUAAAUUUUCUAAAAACAGUAAAUGAAAAUAAUAAUAAAAGAAAAAUGCUAUCAAUUUCAUUUCACCUUGUAACAUGUUGAUCAAGGUGUAUAUCUUUAUAUGAAUAUAUGUUUUUGCAAAUAAAUGAAAUUUUGAGUUAGUAUAUAUUCAUACAUCAGUAAAAAAUGGAGUUUGCUAGAUAAAGCAUAGAAAUAACGAUUUGUUAUAAUCAUAGAGCAUCUAUUACAUACAAACAUUCGAAUAAACUAUGUUAAAGUAUAGUUCAUGUACAUUACCAUUUCUACCCUUGUUUUGAUAAACUAUAAUAUGUAUGGCUUAUAUUUCCAUUAACACAACAAACACAUUUCGAAAGGUUUUAUUCCCACAGAAAAAGGUUUUACACUCACGCACACUACACGUAAACUUGUUAACCUAAAUUGUGAGACAUUCUUNCAUUCGAAUAAACUAUGUUAAAGUAUAGUUCAUGUACAUUACCAUUUCUACCCUUGUUUUGAUAAACUAUAAUAUGUAUGGCUUAUAUUUCCAUUAACACAACAAACACAUUUCGAAAGGUUUUAUUCCCACAGAAAAAGGUUUUACACUCACGCACACUACACGUAAACUUGUUAACCUAAAUUGUGAGACAUUCUUUUUCCGUAUGUCCGAGUGCGGGAUCUAAAUUCCUGGUAGUUAUAAUCAGAGUCUCCCGGAGGGAGAACGUGAUAGUUGUGUAUAGAUCUAUAUUGGAUUAGACACCUCACACCUAAGUUGCAUGCAACAGCUAGACCGGAAGGUCUGUGGUGACAAGUGUCAUUUUAGUUUCGCGACGCCUGAGAAAUGUCGUGGCAGGUUCAUUCAGUCAUAGUAUGGUUAUAGCGGCUCACAUAGGGAGUUAACAACACAUAAAGUUUACGGGGAUUUUCAAAAAUCAAAAGGGUUUUUAUGUCGAUUUAAAAUCACUUUUUAUAUCAAUAAUUACAGAUAUUAUUAUAUAUUUUCAGUCUUGGUGUUUCAGGCUACACAUCAUUCAUUACGGGAUUCUUCUCUAAUCAGAAAGGGUUUUACGCCAAAUUUAAAACCACUUUUAUAUCAUUAGGUAUAACAAAUACUUUUUCAUUCUCGGUCCCGGCAUUUAGGACCACAUAACUUUUAUAAGGAAAAUAUUGUAUUUUUUCUUGGUAAUACACCGCACAUUACAAAGAACGGUUUCCAAACUCUUUAACUAAAAAGCUUAUGAACUCACCAACAUUUGUGUUGACACUUUUUCAAACAACUUGUAUUCUCAGAAAUUCAGUGAAACAGGAAAUCAACAGCGUUUUGAGGAUGGGACGAUAAAUCGUUAAACAGUUCAUUUUGUCAUCAUAAUGUAAUUGAAUUGAAUCUUGUAAACAUAUACUUUGGUGUAACUUUUUCGAUUAUAUUUAUGAUGGCUGUAUUUACUUUGAGCACUAUUAUACUCGUUGUUGUGACACUAUACAUGAAGUCCUCCACCCCCGGAGGUUUCCGCCAUCCUUGGUUUGGGGGUGUGACAGAUUGGUAUUAGAGCAUUGUUUAUAGUGAACUAAGUAUAUGUAACUUUUAGAAAUAAAUAGUUUUCAAAACAACUAUACUUUUAGAAAUAAAUAGUUUCUUGUUAAAAGUAUACAUGCAUGCAUACAUAAUAAGGACAGCAUCAUUCUAGAAAAAAACAAAAGUAAUGAUUGAUGAAUGGCACAAGUAGGCUUGGGGAUGUAUAGUCAGGUCUGGGAAGGACAUAGCCUGGUCAACUAUGUGUAACCCAGAAGUGAUUAGCAUAUGCCCGAGAAUGGUUGUGGCGUUGCAACAAGUCUAAAAACUUACCAACUCUAUCUACAAACAAACAUUGAAAAGCACAAAUCUAACAUUAAAAUACUAUAGGAGUAUUUUGUAAUACUAUAACCAACUUAUGUGAAAACUAAAGACCCCUAUAAGUAAUUAAUUAUAGAGUUAGACGCCUAGUAGUUAUCUCUUCCACUCCUAUUCUCACACGUAUAACAUAGCCAGAUCCUACUUACCGGAUGACCCCUAAUUUCCCAAUCCAAACCAGAUGAAUGGUAGAUGGUUAUGAGGGGAAUCAGAAGCGGAAUCGGAGGUAAUCAACCCUCCAUGCAUAGCAAGGGUUCCCGCAAACCGUUUCGACUACAUUGAACCUGUGCCCCGUUGGGCAACCGUGAUCGAGGGUUGGAGUUGACAGCAAUGACAACAACCAACAUGUGGAGACCAACAAGGGUGCUAUGACCUCAACCACGGGGGACCGACUGAUAGAGCCCUCCCAGCGAAGACCCGGCAGAUCGCGAACAUCAGGGAUUAAAACAGGUAGACUACAAUCCGAGUUCGGAAACUACGUGCUACUACAGACCCUACUGUCUCAUGUACCCGAGACUCGGAAAGAGACUACUAUUUCGGAGACCAACUCUCUGUUUAGGACCUUAUCGCCACUCGGGCAGAGGCAAGAGAUUAAUGGGAUAGACACACGGCAUUCAAGGAGAGGCGGAUUGCAGCCAAGCAUCGAUUGACAGACCUGCAAGGUGCAUCGACUUUGCCUCAGGCAUCGCAAGGGACGGAUCGUCAUAAGUAGAGUUCAUACCGCUCACAAGACCUUGUAAAUUAGGUUCGUGAGUAUGCGUUGGUGCUACUCUAUUCUAGGCGUAAGCACGACACUGUGAUUUAAGCGGUCAUACUAAACGAGAGAUCUAGUUGCUAUCAAAACUUUUCCAUUCAUAGAUGUGAGGUAAAUCUACAUCCAGGUCAAAAUAAUUUCGCUGAAACCAUAAUUACUAGAGUCAUAUUAAAAAGAUGGGCUUAGGUCAUACGUAACAGACUCGAAGGUCUAUUUAGCCUUAAUUAUAUAACUAAGCAUACAUCAAUUGGUCAUAAUAAGGACCUAGCUUGGGUCAAGUCACAAGGUUUCACUUAGAUACUGAACUACUAAAAAAAAUUCAUGGGUUUACCAUAUAGAGACUCUCAUUAUGAACUGUUUUCAGAAUACCCUUAACAACCGAAAUACGUUAUAAAUUGAACUAAGAUCGAUAAACUUAGUUAGAAAACUCGCGAUGUAUAGCCAUUCUAAAGACUCUUUACCGUCUUUCCCCUUAAAGCUUAUGAUUGAGGGGAUGUUUUCUUCGUAGACCUAUAAGGUGCGAUCUUUUCAGCACUAAUACACUGGGUCCCAUCGAAACUCCUCAUCCAAGUGUGUUGGACAAACAUGAUCCUAAGAUGAGUAAAGCUUAACGCCCGCACGAAACCUACUUAUACCCACUACCAUAAAUUCGUCUCAGGAACGUUAGCAGAAACACUAGGAAUAGUACAGUAAUGUGCAAGAAUUUAUAUAUGUGAAUAUAAAUCAUAAGGAUGCACUUGAGAUAAUUAUUUCCACUGUCGAAGUCGUUUUUCAUUGUGAAACAGAGCUAUGUCUUCACCAAGAGGCAACCAACCAACUAGCAAGGCGCCAACCCUACAAAUAGACUCUGCUACUUUUCAGGUUGCAGUCACAGCUGCCGUGACAGCCGUCAUGGCACAAUUGAAUGCUAACAACGCCAGCAGAGAUGGAAGCGGUACUGACAAUACAGAUUGUUGUAAUAAUCAGGAACACCAAUGAGAGUCUGCUAAUGAAAGCGCCUCACGCCACAAACCUACGAACAAGAAGCGAAAGUUUUGGGACAAAAAGAAGUGUAACCUACCUCAAAAAUUCGCUGGAAGAAAGCAAUUUGUGGCUGUACCUGCCAUUACAACAGUUGUCACGACACAUGCCUCAACACUAGCCACGGGGUCUGCCACCCAAGUCUCGGCCAGACCAUAUAAGGGAUCACUCCCAAAGUGUAACAAGUGUAACUACCAUCACACAGGAGCUUGCCGAAUUUUACACUGUAGCAAUUGCAACAGGAAAGGACAUACCGUCCGUUUCUAUAAGGGCCCAACCCAGCAUCUCCCUUCAAUCACCAGCACCAAGGUAGACCCAGUAUGCUACUUAUGCGGUGAAACGGGACACUUCAAGAGAGAGUGUCCAACCGAGAAGAAUGACAGGGGAGCAGGAUGAGUGUGAUGAACACACCAGCAGGAGAAGCAGGGAACCAUAUUAGGACUUUUGUGUUGUCUCCAAUGACAAAAACGUUUAAGUACCAUAUGUUUGUAUCAAAUUUGGUAUGCCUGCUAAAAUCGCCGUCCUUCUAAAAGUAGUUAAAAUACUCUCUCAUUCAAAUCAAACCAAAGAUAGUCAUAUAUGACCUUAGGAUCAUUACCUGUAAGUUGUGAUGACUUUGUACAUACAUCGGGGUUAAUUAUAAUAAAAAUACUAAAGUCUUGAAACAAAUAACUCCAUCCUGACUUCUAUUCCAUGUCUAGUAGUAGGAAUCGAGUGGGGCCACCCACUCGACAAUUUCACCAACAUCAAAUUACAUACGACGUUCAUCUACCGCUCGAUCAUAGAGUGACCUGUCAAGGAUCAUGAUAUCAAGUAUCAUUACUAGCUAUCGAAACACACCUACUACCAGUGCUAGACACGGUGGUAUGAAUCAUCUAUAAUAAUAAUAAUAUCGAACAAAACGGAACACACUAAAAAGGAACACAAGAUACUCUAUCACUCUAAUGAGCACUUCAUACGAAUACAACUUAACACAUGUUUUACCUAAAGAGAUACUGUUGUCCCCAUUCAAUUUCGACUGGUAUAGUCCUCAUCUUCCCGGUUUAAUGACUAUGGAAAGGACCCUUCACCUAACCCACCGAAUAUCGAAACCUUUGUUUCCUAUAAACACAUCCAGCUCGACCCGUUCCUCAAGUCCCUGGCAUCGGGACCAACCCUGCACACAAAGGUGGUGGUAAAACCGGACCCCAUAAAAGGAAAUUUUCGAAGUGGAUGAACGAGGAAGGCACCCGUGUCCAUGUAACUCUGACUAAACACCUUACUUCCACCACCAAUGCUAGGACGAGCCAGGUAUGUCACAAAUGCGGCGAGAUAGGACACCUUAAAAAGGACUGUCCAAUAAUAAAGAACUCCGGCACGGACAGGAAGAUACUAAGGAUCACUGCCGUAGGAGAAACUACUCUGGACCCCGUUAAAACUAUCUAAGACAUUCGUGGUAACAGACUCGUAAAUUGUUUAAAACUAGUGCAACUAGAGUCUUAUCUUUUGCCAGACCCCGUCAGUAAAGGGACCCUCGUACUGCGUAUACUUGCCUUUGGUAGUAUACCUAGUUCGCAGCAAUAGUCUUGUAGUAAAUCUAUAACACUGUAACUCUGUUAAAAGUUGCAUAGUUGUGUUUUGUCUGUAACGCCUUUGUGAUCAAAUUUAAUGCCUCUAUUUCAAGUGACUCCGAUUUUUAUCAUACGACCGAAGUCCAUUCGAUCCUCACAAUACCAGUUUCGUGCGUAAGUCUCUUCCUCCAAAAUCAUCUUUCUAGUGAAGCUGUCAUUCCAGAACUCCAAAGUACUCAUGCAUAGAGUACCUCAAGUUUCUUAUCCUUUUCCGAAGAAACCUCAACAAGCCUCCCCAAAGUACCGCUCGGGCAGUACGUCAAGUUCAAUCCAAAUACUCGUACGUUUAAUGUAUUGUUGAAGAAUGUAUACGCAAGGGCGGUAUAUAACCAAGGUUCUACAGGUUUAGAAUUAAUGGUUCCCCUUUUUACUCUUUUCCUCAUUGGGAUAUGAGCUUAAAGAAGAAUCAUUUAUUCAAUCACCUUUUCAAUUUUAAUUAUAUACGACUCCAGUAACCAGAUCGCCCUACAGUCUAACCCCCUACCCAGCUGAAAGAACUGUCAGGUCAAACCUAUUGAACUACUCAACAAUGGAAUUGGAGAACCACGCUCCUCACCAUGGAGACCUCCGGUCUUGUUCUACAAAUAGAAAGGCAAAUUGCUCGUAGGUCCGUCAACUUCAGAGGCCUCGACAAUAUCUCUAGUAGAAACCAUUACUAUCUGCCUCGCAUAGACGUAUAGACCGACCAACCACAAGGAACGAGGUACCCUUCAGGAAUUGGACCCGAGAUCAGAAUAUCACCAGUCAUGAGUAUUGGAGAAGGAUGUCCGAGGUCAAUCCUCCAAAUUUGAUGCGGACGUUGCAAGUUCACAGUGAUACCCCUCGGAUAGGACCAACCCGCUCGCAGUGUUCAUGAACUUAAUGAAUAGGGUACACCAUUCUUACUGGGAUCAGUUCGUCAUUGUCCUUGAAAAUGACUUGCUUAUCUACCCUAGUAGUAAGAAGAAAACCAAAAAGAGCAACUACAACAAACCAUGGGAACAAUGCGAUCAUAGAAGCCAUACCUGAGGUUCUCUAGAUACGAGUUUUGGAAUUGAAGAGUCAAAUUCUUGAGGACCCUUUCAAUUAAUCAAAACCGUUGAGAAUUGUCAGCACCAAAGGCGUCGACGGGAACACAACGAAAUUCUGGGUCUCGUUUGUUGGGUUUUGAGCAUUCUAACACUCCUAAGUGUACAUGCAACCCUAAAUACCUUGGAUCUAUGUUUUCUCUAUUAUAUAUGCAAAUAAGAACAUCCAAGGUAUUAUCCUAAUCUAGCAUACAAAACAAUGACUAUAGCAAGAUAGAAUACAUACCUCUUUGAUGUAGAAAGUCUUCAUGAAGCUUGAGUGCCUAGUGCCCCAAGUGUGACACCUCAAAUGGAAUCACAAUCAUCAAAACACUUGGAAUGACUUGAGAGAAUUCUACACUCUUCAAAAUCGGCUAGCCCUUUCUUCACUAUCACUAGUGGCCGAUUUUUCCUCAAUAAUAAGAUGCUUAUAUAGUUACACAAUUAGGGUAAACUCUUAAUUGUCAUGGCUUUCCAUUUCCUUGGAUCCAUGGGUACAAAUACACCAUGGAGCAUCCAUGGACCAUCCUAUGGGUUUUAGCCCAACUUGAUUAUCCAUGGAGCAUUAGCCCACUAUACAAGUAUGGAUGAUUUACACAAUCAACCCAUAUAUUUAAUUAGUCUUCUUUUGAUCACUUAAUUAAUCCUAGAUUAAUUCUUGAUCAAUACUAAUUAAAUAAUCUUAUUAUUCUUAUUAUUAAUAUACUAGAACUUAUAAUAUAUUAAUAACCAUAAGUGUCUUAUUUCUCUCAUUAUAGUCUAUCCAAGUGCAUGAUGGUAUGCAACCCAAAUGGACCAUGCCGGGUCGGGUCAAGUCUUACCAAUUAUAGUUAUGGACUUAGACAUUAAUCCAACAGUCUCCCACUUGGAUAAGUCUAAAACUAUUAUUGCGUAUGACUUCAGGAACCAACUGGCAAUCGUAGCUCUCAAAAGCUUCUGUCGAACUCUGACCUUGUAGAUGAACUCUGACCUUUGUCAAUGACUUGUCCAUUAGAUAAGGGAUCAUAUAUUCCUCCAUUCUAGAUAUCAUAUGGACUGAGACAUGGAUUAUAAUCAUUCUCUCUGUCCAUUUGUUGUUUCCCGAUUUCCGAUUUAUGACGACUGACUAAUUGAACAAAUCAAAUCAGUCCUGGCCCGGCCGAGCACUUCCAUUUGUCAUCAUCAAAUCAUCGAGGGGCCCACAGAUAUCGCUUUUAUCCCGAAGGUAAAAGGAAUGGAUAAACUUCGACUCAUAUGGCUUGUUCUACUACUUGUUGAAUCAUACACAAAGGCACGUUUUAUAGCACCGAGUUACCAAAUGCGUUUUCGUGCAAUCAAUGUACUAUCAACUCAUAGUAACAACUCAUAUCUCUAGGUUUGAAGAAUAUAAGAUAUUAUCGUCUCAUGAUCACUCGUGAUAAAAUCCAUGAAGUGAUUCCAAUGAGCGCGGGUUGAAUCCAAUACUCAGAACUUAUGAGCACUCAUGAGUGUUGUAGCCCUUUGUCCAACACCUUAGACCUCUACAAGCCAACCCAUGACAGUCUUAAUUCAUAUCUACUUCCAACAUAUGACCGACUGUGGAUGGUUUGAAUAACUUAGUCAUUCCGGAAGAAUAACCCAGUUUAUUCGGGAAGUCAAAACAUGCAAAAUGAAACACAAUAAUAAUUGAAUCCAAUAUGGUAUCAACCCUUUGAACAUAAAUAAAACACCUUUUAUUUAUCACCAUAUGAUUACACAUUAUUCAUUGUAUACUGUUUCAGCUAUCAACUUUAUUCUUGAAUUUAAAACAAUAGUUGUCCCAUGCUCCAAGCAUGUACACUAUGUUUUCUUAAACACUAGUCAUGCCACACACCAAGUAUGCAUACUAUGUUUGUCUAUGAUCUUUACUUUGUGAACUAGAUCAAUUGAACAUAACUUCAAUGAUUCUCUUUUCACACUCCCAAAUCCUUACUGCAAAUGCAAGAAUUCCAAAUUCAUGCCAUUUACUGAAAUCUGUUAGAUUCUAAACUUAUAUGCAUUGAUCCUCUUGUAAUGAUUAUGCACAAAGUCACAAAGACUUGGCAACAAUCAUUACAGAGUAUUCCAAAGGAGAUCAACUCCUUGGAAAUAUCCUUCUUGCAUUAAGUUUCCUUAAUCUUACACAGAUUGAAAAUUCUAACUUUGAAACAUUUCCAGAUUCCAUUUUGACUAUCACUUCUGAACAAGAGUUGCCUCCUUACAGAUUAUGUCAAUAUGGUCCUUCCAGAAUUAUCACUAUACUUCCAAUUGUCCUUGAGUAACCAAUCUUUGGUAAACCUUAGAUUGUCCUCGACAAUUGUUUAAUCCUUUUAGUCAUAUCCAGUUCUAAACCUUUUCCCUUCUUAAUGCCCCAGGCAUUUGGAAAAUUUUAGAACGGAUGAAUAUAGCACAUGUAAUCGAUCCUAUAUCCGAAGCAUAUGGGACACGAUUCAUGAUGUCUUACAUAAAGACUAAACCAGUCUUUUGCUAUAAUAUUUCCAUUUCAAUUUGCCAAGUUCUCAUAAUUCAGAUUAUGAAAAGGGAUGCCGUAAUCAUAAUCGAAUUUUAGAACGCAAAUAAUGGACCCAUAUACAGAAUUUCCUUAUGUUGAGCCAUUCCAACAUGAAAUUCAUAUAUAUCCUUGACUAAAUGAUUAAAACCUCACGAUCUAAGCUUAUAGAUUUGAGAUGAAGCAUAAUUUCCUCUCCCUUAAUUAUAGCAAAACAACUUUUUCCCAAUUGAAACUUUUGUUUUCUAUAAUUAACAUUGCUAACUUGCAAUACUUAUCAUAAUUAUCAUGCUCCCACUAACAUGAUGAUUAUUAGCAUAACACUUAUGCUCCCACUAGCUUUGACAUGUACUCAGAAAUCAGCUGGACAGUCUGAAAUUUAGAUUCAUACACCCUUUCCGUAGAUAGCUCACCUGUGUGUCUAAGCAAUUUCAAGAACCAUGAAAAGGGAUACCGUAAUCAUGGUCUCAAUUGCUUAGGCAUUUGCCAUUUCUCACAAGUCCAUGUUAGUGUGCCGGUUAACCACACGCGCUCCACUAACGACUUUUGAAAAUGCAAAUAACACAAUUGAUAUCUUCGUAAAAUCUACUUAGUGAAAGCGUUUCCUCACCAUCAUUUUCAUGAAUCGGAGAGAAACCUUAUGACACUUAGAUUUAUAUGGUGUAUGAGUUCCUACCCAUAUGAAUUUGUCAAACCAUAAUCACAAGACAAAGAUAAUGACAAAUCCAAAACCAUAUGGAUUGAACUCAAUCUUAACUUCUUGCCACCUGGCAGCUCAAGGGCCUGCCAUUGCUUCCAAGUUGUUAUGCAACAAACUGAGAACUCUAAGAACUCAUAUGCAAAGCCAACUUUAACUGGAAUGGGCACAGAUAUGUCAACACGAUAGGUUAUAAACCUCAAGUCGUGUGCUAGUGAAGAACUUUAGGUUUUAUUCUUGAUUAUUUCUUGAGACUUUCAAGACCUUUAAGACUCCCACUGUCCUCUUGACAUAUAAGACUCCCUUGUCAAACAUCCAAGAGAUAGUGCGGAUUCUAAUCAAGAAAAACACUUUACCCAAUUGGCCUAAGUUGGUCUUUGUUUUAUCCAAAACAUCACAACUUACCAAUUUCAAAUGUACAAGAGUAGAAAACUUUUACUCUUACAUUUGACAAGUGUUUUAAACCUUCUUUAAGACAUGUCACUCAAAUGACAAUCUUGGAGUAUGACUCUAAGACUUGUAUUGGAACGAAGUAUGACUCAUCUUCUUGAUUUAACCAUUUCAACAAUUCAAGUUCCUCUUCUUAGUCAUAAGAAUGCACUAAGAUUUCCUUAGAGAACUAAUUUUGAUAUGGUUUCUUAAUCAUUAAGAUGAUCACAAAACUGAUACUAAAGUACUCUCCCAUCUUUUCAGAUUUGAGAAACUUUUAUCCUUCUGCCUUAUUUGAUUCUUCUUAUCGAUCUUUAGUGGUGGACUUAAUCAGUGCACAAGAAUGUGUACUCGAUCCCUAAGUCCUUUACUUGACUCACACAUCCAUGUGAACAAGUAAUUAGUCUUAAUUUUCCAAAACUUGAAAGUUCUCAUUCAUCAUGCUAUACAACUUGCAUGAUUCCAAGUUCCGGUCCAAUUGAAACUUGGGUGAUGAGAAUCUUUCCUUAUUUGGUAAAUUUAGACAUUACCACAAAUGAAAGAAUCAAUUUCAUAUUUCCACUCUUGCUCUUAAUGGAAUCAUAUAAGCAACAAUUUUUCCUCAAAUGCCAUUGUAAGGAUAUUUUAAAAUAAAUAAAAUAAAAAAUUUUCUUUUAUUUUAAAACUUUGCGGAAAAACUUAUCCUUACAAUCCAUAUGAAAACUUGUUGUUAUCUAUUCCUAAGCAAUAUCUCAUAACUCCUAAGAAGUAGCUCAAGAAUCCGAUCUUCAAACUAUGCGAUAGAAAUCCAUCUACGCCAUCAGAUUCAGCAUAUUCUUUCUUUAAGUUUCUUCACUUUUCUUUGAUUCUUAAAACAUCACCAUGUGACCCAGUCACAUCAUGUAUCAAGAAUCUCAGAAUAGAAACUUAACAGAGUUAGAUAGUGGACUUUACCUGAAGUAGAGUCAAACUUAUUGACUUUAACAUCCUUAGGUAAAUUUGGCAGCUUCGCAACCAAUGCCCCUUCCUUUGGCAAUAUAAACAUAUGGACCCUUUGAUAAUGGUACACGGGACUAUCACAGACUUAGCUUUUCUCUUUACCAUUUGGUCAACCGAGUUGACUAUGGCCGAUCCCUUUCCAUUGGGAAGAGAAUGCUUUACUGGAUAUCCAAUGUCAUCAUUGUCAAUGUCCAUAAAGUUUUAGGAAGUUGAUCUUAGCAAAUAGAUAAGAUCAUUAAGGGUCUUGUCAUAGUCUGUUUCAUAGGUGUCCCAAAGGAACUCACUAUGUGACUUAGAAAGUGGUUGAACCACCAACUUUCUCAAGACUUUGACACCCAACUCUCCCGGCUUGUCAAUAUGUGACUACAUCUCCAAGAUGUGACCACACCUAGACCUUGCCUUGCCAAUAGGGCCUGAGUGACCUUAAACUUUUCAAGAACUUGUGGGUUAGGGAGAAUAAUUUGAAGAGGUGAAGAAGUAUGAUAUCCAUGGGACAUCAUCUUCAUUAGGAAACCUUGUUUCAAGAGAUUUGGGAAGAUCAUAGGUGUCUAAACCAGACAUCUUUUGGGAGAUAUUCAAGAUAGUUGAUUUAAAGUCCUUAAUAUGACACCCAAUAUGAAAUAUUAAGGCUAGGACCCAACAAACUAUUUUAUAACUUAGAAGAGGUAUGCCGUAAUCCAAGCUAUAAAAUAUUUGAAGGUAGGUGAAUGACGAUUCACCAAUUUCCACCAAGAUAAACGAAAUGUAUUAUUAGGUUUUAAUUGGUUUUGAAACUCCUAGAUCUUUGAGAUUCAUUGAACUUUUCAAAGGCAUGUUUCAAUCUCGAGUGUGCCCUUCAGGUUUUGUGACUGGGAUGCCGAGGAUCACAAAACAAGGUGUGAAGUAACCAUGCAAAUCACUUGGUACCCUUAAUAAAUUACCCCUCAAUCGAUGUGCCGGUUAACCACACACGCUCCAUCGAUACUAUGAUAAAUAUUAAGUCACCCUUUACCUACCUUGUUAAGUCCAAGUUAGUGUGCCGGUUAACCACACACGCUCCACUAACGACUUAGACAAAGUGUAAAGUGUAAUUUCAUGGAUUAGCACCUUAUUCACAUUUUUCCUAAGUAACUAAGAUUGGGUAUUAUUAAGAGUUUAGUUACUUAGUAUUAUCAUUAAUACUUUUAAUGAAGGGAGAAUUCUAGUCCUGUCAAACCCGUUCGGCUAACGACCCUCCACCAGUCAAGCAAGCGGUGGGUGAGAGUGGACACCCAUUAAGUUGCCAUUUUAUAGGCAACAACCUUAUACCCACCUUAUAGACCGGCUUCGUGAAUGAGGCGUACUAGCGGUAAGACUGACUUUACUCUUAUACAUAUAUAUAUUAUUAACUUAUAAUAUUAUAAAGUAUAAGGGUUGAAUUUUAACUUUUAAAAUUCUAAGGGCUAACUUGGAAUUAAAGUAUUCAUACUUGAAAACUUUUCAAAUUCCAAAACUUGAGGGCAAGUUUUGAAACUAUUCAAAACUAAUUAAUUCCAUAACUUAUGUGUUUAAAGUAGUUUUAAUCCAAAAACUCUUCAAGUUCCAUAACUUGAGGACAAGUUAUGGAAGACUUUAAACUAAUAAAAGAACUAACUUUUUCUUUAUUUUAUAACUUAUGGAUUUAAUUAUGGUUACAUAUUUUUCUUUAAUGAAGUGACUCUUGAACUUCCAUAACUUGAGGACAAGUUAUGGAGUCAAAAAAAAUUAUUCAAUGACACAAGACUCUUCAUUUUGUAACCAUUGCCAACUUUUAUGAGUUUUAUGAGUCUUUAAUGUGACUCUUCAUGUAACUUGAGGACAAGUUACACAAACACAUUUUAUACUCAACUCUUAGAUUAAAAUGGAUUGAAAACAACUAUUUCACUCAACAUUUCUAUUAAUCUAAGCAACUCAUAAGAACAAGAUAAUUCAAAUCAAACUUUUUCAUGUAAUUAGUCUAAACCUUAAACUAAUACAAAACAUGAAUCUAUUGACAAUUAUCUUUGAAAAUGGAUUAGCAUGAACAUUACCACAUCAAAAACAAGUUUAUAAGUUCAAAAACAACUUAGGGUAAUGUUCCUAGUCCAUUUCUAGCCAAAAAACUCGAAAAUAUGCUGUCUGGGGGUCCAACUCGUCGAGUGCAUGAACAAACUCGGCGAGUUGGAUCGAAUUCAUCACUUUUUAGGCAUGGACUCGUCGAGUCUCCUGAUGGACUCGCCGAGUCUGAUGGCCAGACAGCACCAGAUUCGUUUUUUCAGCUUCUAUUGCAGGUAUAACAAGAAAACAAGCCUAGGCUCUGAUACCACUGUUGGGUUUUGAGCAUUCUAACACUCCUAAGUGUACAUGCAACCCUAAAUACCUUGGAUCUAUGUUUUCUCUAUUAUACAUGCAAAUAAGAACUUCCAAGGUAUUAUCCUAAUCUAGCAUACAAAACAAUGACUAUAGCAAGAUAGAAUACAUACC